AUUAAUUAGUCUUUCUACUAUAUGUCAUGUCUAUAUAUUAGCUAGCCCUGAAACCUUUCAAUACACCUGCAGAAUACAAACUUUCUCAAAGACAACCUUUGAGUGCAUUCUGUUCAAAAAUUCUCUUCUCUAUUUUUCUUAAAAGAAACAAAUCCUAAGAGAGUCAUCAUCAGUAUAGUCAUGGCUCUCUCACGUAGUCCUAUGAUCUUUCUCUCCCUUUUACUUACGUUUGUAGCUCUCACUGCUGCUCAAUCUCCUAUGAUGUCCCCCACAAUGCCACCAUCUACCAUGUCAAUGCCACCAAUGACCACCACUCCUCCACCUAUGGCCACCAUGUCACCACCACCAAUGGCCACCAUGUCACCACCACCAAUGGCACCGCCAAUGAGCCCAAUGGCACCAUCAAUGAGCCCAAUGGCACCAUCAAUGAGCCCAAUGGACUCACCACCGGCUCCUAUGGCACCCGGAAUGGCACCCAUGGGACCAGGGCCAGCACCGGGACCUAUGAAUGGCGGAAUGGCUCCUCCUCCUCCGUCUAAUGGUUUUGUUCAUGGAAGUAGCAUGGCUAUGGUAGCAAUUCUUGGGAGUGUAGCACUUUUGUUUUAAAUUUAAUUUGCUUUCAUAUUGUUGUAGAUUAAAAAUAAUUUACUUAUUUGUGUAUUUAUUUUGUUAAGCUCAUUGUAUUGUUGAUUUUGUGUGGAAGAGUGAGGAAUUUGAGGACGUUUGGUUGGAGAUUUAUCAAAUGUUACAUGCUCUAUUGUGUAACAUUUUGAACAUUAGCUUAAUAAGACACUAUUCUCUCUUUCUUUCAAUUUAAAUUUCUACUUCAAUGCUGCUUGUAUUGUUUUCAUAUGAAUUUCCAAGUUAUAGGGUAUUUAAUUUUGAGACUAGAUUUAAUGCAAUAUUUUAGUUUCCUAAAAAUUUAGGAGAAGUGUUUUGUUAGAUUUUUUUAUUUUAUGUUUUUUAUUUGCAAUAAUGGCUAGUGCUAAUUAGCAAUUUUCAUGAGUUGAUAUGAAAGAGAAAAGAAUGGAAUAAAAGAUAAGCAAUUGGUGGUGGAAUGAUGAUAAGGUAGAAAAGAUAGGGUGCUAGCUAGCUGGAAAAGAAUAAAGCUUUUCUUUGUNNNNNNNNNNNNNNNNNNNNNNNNNUUUGUAAGAUUGGUGUGGAUGAAAAUUGAUGAACUUAUUUUGGGAAGAGGAAGAAGUCCUUUUGGCAUAUCUUUUGUGUGUCAAAAGGAGAAUGGGCUAAUUUGGUGGCUACACACAAGCAUGGGUUGGCUGGUGAGAGUGGGGCUAAGUAACAACAAAGGGACAUAAACUAGAUUGUGACAUCCACAUGGUAUGUCAUAUGCCCCUCUCCCCACUCCUUUGUCAAAUAUACCAUCCUAAUGCCCAAGCCUAAAAGGAAUAUAGAAAGAUAUUGGCUUAGACAUAUACUCCCUCCGUUUACUUUUAGGGGUCUGUUUGGUUGGAAUACGGAUUAUGCCGGUAUAAGUUAUGCCGGAAUAAGUUAUGCCGGAAUUAGUUAUGAUGGAAUUGUUGUUUAUUCACUGUUUGGUAUGUUGUAUUAAGAAUGACAAUUGCAUAAUUUCUAAGAAGAAGGUAUGACUUAUACCGGUGCUAAUUACCCCACCCUCUAAAAGGUAUAAGUUAUCCCGGUGUUAAAAUUAACACCGGAAACUUAUACCUGGUUUGCUAACCAAACAUAGUAUUAAGAUGGUAUUAAAUUUUUAUACCACCCCUAUGCCUACUUAUACCUCACACCAAACAACCCCUUAGUUGUCCAUUUUUUACUUUGCACUCCUUAAAAAAAAUGAAAUAUGUAUUUUAUAAUUUUACCCAUAAUAAUGUUAGAAGUUCCAAAAGUCUUGGAAAAUGACUUGGGAAUAGAGUAGUUAAUAAUAAGGGUAAAACAAGAAAAGAAGAUUAUCUUUCUCUUGAUUUAAUAUAGUGUACAAGGCAAAAUGAAUGGAGGGAAUAGUUUGUUCCUGCGGUGUUGUUAAAUUCCUUUUACACCUUUUUUUCACGAAAAAUUGUUUGCACACUACAUUUGCUACGGAAUGUAUUUAAUACACACCACUUUUGUUCAAAUCUACUAAAACAUUAUGUCUGGUGUGAACAUCCGCAUGACAUGCAACAUUUUAGGUAGAUUUCUUGCAGCUCAAUUAAGUGGUUAUUUGUUUGGUGGAUGAGUUGUUAAGUAUAAAAAAGAUGUAAAUAUUAUAUUUCCUUUUCACACAAGAGGAAUGAACCCUAAAGAAUUAGGAGAAUUAGAUUAAUUUCUAGAAGAAAAAGGGCGUCUUUUGACUUUUAGAGUUGUAGGUUAUAAGCAUUGGAUUCCAUCUCAAAACCUAAAGAAGCAUAUAUGAGAAUCAACAAAAAGUUUUUGUUAUCUUUUGCUUCUUUUUUAUCCUCAAAAAGGCCAUAUAAGAAGAAAGCUGUCAUCUGUCAUUUUCAACACCAAAUUUUGGAAUNNNNNNNNNNNNNNNNNNNNNNNNNNNNNNNNNNNNNNNNNNNNNNNNNNNNNNNNNNNNNNNNNNNNNNNNNNNNNNNNNNNNNNNNNNNNNNNNNNNNNNNNNNNNNNNNNNNNNNNNNNNNNNNNNNNNNNNNNNNNNNNNNNNNNNNNNNNNNNNNNNNNNNNNNNNNNNNNNNNNNNNNNNNNNNNNNNNNNNNNNNNNNNNNNNNNNNNNNNNNNNNNNNNNNNNNNNNNNNNNNNNNNNNNNNNNNNNNNNNNNNNNNNNNNNNNNNNNNNNNNNNNNNNNNNNNNNNNNNNNNNNNNNNNNNNNNNNNNNNNNNNNNNNNNNNNNNNNNNNNNNNNNNNNNNNNNNNNNNNNNNNNNNNNNNNNNNNNNNNNNNNNNNNNNNNNNNNNNNNNNNNNNNNNNNNNNNNNNNNNNNNNNNNNNNNNNNNNNNNNNNNNNNNNNNNNNNNNNNNNNNNNNNNNNNNNNNNNNNNNNNNNNNNNNNNNNNNNNNNNNNNNNNNNNNNNNNNNNNNNNNNNNNNNNNNNNNNNNNNNNNNNNNNNNNNNNNNNNNNNNNNNNNNNNNNNNNNNNNNNNNNNNNNNNNNNNNNNNNNNNNNNNNNNNNNNNNNNNNNNNNNNNNNNNNNNNNNNNNNNNNNNNNNNNNNNNNNNNNNNNNNNNNNNNNNNNNNNNNNNNNNNNNNNNNNNNNNNNNNNNNNNNNNNNNNNNNNNNNNNNNNNNNNNNNNNNNNNNNNNNNNNNNNNNNNNNNNNNNNNNNNNNNNNNNNNNNNNNNNNNNNNNNNNNNNNNNNNNNNNNNNNNNNNNNNNNNNNNNNNNNNNNNNNNNNNNNNNNNNNNNNNNNNNNNNNNNNNNNNNNNNNNNNNNNNNNNNNNNNNNNNNNNNNNNNNNNNNNNNNNNNNNNNNNNNNNNNNNNNNNNNNNNNNNNNNNNNNNNNNNNNNNNNNNNNNNNNNNNNNNNNNNNNNNNNNNNNNNNNNNNNNNNNNNNNNNNNNNNNNNNNNNNNNNNNNNNNNNNNNNNNNNNNNNNNNNNNNNNNNNNNNNNNNNNNNNNNNNNNNNNNNNNNNNNNNNNNNNNNNNNNNNNNNNNNNNNNNNNNNNNNNNNNNNNNNNNNNNNNNNNNNNNNNNNNNNNNNNNNNNNNNNNNNNNNNNNNNNNNNNNNNNNNNNNNNNNNNNNNNNNNNNUAUUUUAAUCAUGACGUGCCAAAAUUUUCUGAGUUAUUUUCAUUCCUAAAUCCUAAUGCACCGCAAAUUUUUCUGAGUUAUCUUUGAUAAGAAGUUUGCUCAAUCCCAUUUUGGGAAAAUUUUCUAAUCCUGAUUAUUUUUCAGAGCACAAUUUUUUGGCACUAUGCUAAAAAUAAUGAUCAAUUUAUUAAAGCAUACCUCUUUUUCAAUAAUGUAGUAUGUAGCUAAUCAUCGUAAUUUUUGCCAAUUAUAAGCAUAAGUAUCGGAGUUCAGCCUUUUCUCGGAGUGGUAAAGCUCGAGAUUGUAACCCAUGAACAUGCCAACUUGUUUACCUCGAAAAAUGAGGUAACAAUAAAAUAUGAUUUGUAAUUUUAAAGAUAUGUGAUUUAUUAUAAUACUAGUGAAUAUAUACGUAAUAUUGAGUUGAAAUAAGAAAAAUUAAUGAACCAAACCAGCGUUACUAUAAUAAUGAGGACCUCGAGCUUGGCUUACUUGGGGACCUCGAGGUCCGCUAAGAAUAAUGAAGUGUGAAUAGUAAAGUAAAGCAAUAAAGCUGAAGAACACUCGUUGAGCACGUUAAACAAGAAAAGCAAAGUAGAAUAUUCUAUUGCAUUGAGUAAUGUGAGAUGAUCUUUAAAAAUGAUAGGGCUCUCCUUUAUAUAGGAGGGGAAAACCCUAAUAUAGUACAUUUCCAAUUAUGGUGAAGAAUUCUAUUGAUACAUCUCUAUAACAACCUAGUACGGACUUGUACUAUUUCGUACAAAUCUUAUAUCAUAAUUCAUGCCCUGAUCCACGUGUCAUUGAGAAAUUCCCGCUCUUUCUUGAAUGUCCUCGAGAAAAUCCUGCCCUCGAUGUAGGUCAUGUCAGGCCCACGAUCUGCUUCCUCGAGGUGUGCACAUCCAGACCAGGAUCGAUUCUUACUCCAAGCUUCCCGAACGCGAGCUCGGGAUAUGAUCAAGUCUUUGAAAUUGAGCUCUCCAAUUUUAACCGUAUACAUAACUGGUAAUAGGAGGAUAAAUACCUCACUGACCCUAAUAAAGACCAACCAAAGGCACCUUUCGUACUAGUAUAUGAUUUUAGUUUCCUAAGGAUAACACCGUUUUGGUGUAACGUAACAUUAAUGAAAUCUUUUGACUUUAUUAAAAAUGGAGCUGCACCAAAUUCUUACCGCAGUAAGUUUAGAUUUUACACCAAGAUUUUAAAUUUGGGCAACUCGUAAUCUUCUAUUCUCUUCUCUUUCCAAAUAUGGAGAACUGCACUGAAUGCUUAUCCAGCUGGUGCAUUCAUCAAAUUAUUCUAUUUAUCCUAGUUAAUUGAUGGAGGGGAGCUUUGGAGCAGCAGUCAAGUUGUCUCAGUGUGAUCUAUAUGUCAGGGGUUCGAGCUGUGGAAUCAAUCACUAAUGCUUGUAUCAUGGUAGGCUGCUCACACCACACUACCUUAUAUAAUGCAACGCUUCCCCAGACCCUGGGUGAACGUGUCACCUGGUUGCCCCUUCAUAGUUAAAUAAUAAACUGAUGAUGUAAAAAUAUAUAUUAAGUAAUCAUGAUAUAGCGAAAGAGUGUGCUUAAAGGCACAUGUUAUAUAUAUUUAUAGAAAUUAAUAUAAAUACCAGGUGUACGUAAAUAAAUUUUCUGCAAAGAAAUUACACACACUUCCCUUUGUAGACUUGAAAGUGAAACACAUAAUUCAGUUAUGCUUCAUCCUUUCGUGACUAAACUCAUGUAUUGUAACAUAAUUAACAAGUGAAUCCUUCAUGUGUGUUUCUUUUUUGCUUUUUGUUUAAUAAAUCAUCCAGACAUAGACAUAGCACCUGUGUUGAUUUUUAUUAAUAAUAUCCUAGUGUAUUUUAUAUUAUAAUAAGACUGGGAAAAAGGAGAGGAAGUGGAAACUUUAGGAAGGCUUGUGUACUAGUGUUACUAGUCAAUCUCUGCGAAGGUUUGUGUAAAUAUUCUAGCUUAUAUACAACUGUUAUACCCUGUUUCAAUUACACAAAGGGGAUGCUAAGGUAGAAUUAAUUCAGCUCAAAAUCUCAAAAUUGAACCUCUUUAGGCGCAUUAUUUCAUCUUCCCACAGAAUGCUUUCUAAAGAUUUUUUUUUUAAAGAAAAAACUAAGGGCAAAAUUUAGCAUCUUGAAGUAGAGAGACAAAUAAAGGAGGUAUUACCCCACGAAUUGACAAGUCAAUUGUGCGCAACAAUGAGGGAAGCUCAAAAUUGCUAAAGGAUUCAGUAUCUCAUGAAAAUUGCUGUCAAAACUUUAACUUAAGGAAAAAAAUAAUUUAUUCCACACUGCAAUUAACAAGUUCUUAAUGUAAAUUAAAGUAUAAAAAUUGCAUAUCCUAAUGCGAGUUCAUAUUAAAUCCUUUUUUCCGGUCAUAAUUCCCGUUAAAUCUAACAAUUAUAGGAUAUAUAGUCUAUAUGCAAGUGCAUGGAUGAGAUUGUUAGCUUCAAUAACGCAAAUAUUGGUGAACAUCCAACGCCUGAAAAUCUAAGAGUUACUCCACGAGAUUUCUUCAUAUAGGAUGCGAGUCAAAGCCUAAUAUCAGACCUAAAAAGUAGUCGAUGGAUAACAUGUGAAUAUUUUUGUACUAUUCCUUAAAUUGGUGUUAAAGAUGAAGGCUAGCUAGGUUAGCCAAGAGAUGAAUGUAGGAAACCUGAACAAUAAAAUUUCUAUAGUUAAGUCAUUGAGAGAGUGCUCCAUCAUAUGGGCCAAAAAAGGACGACAUUUGGAUUGGACAGCUCUCAGAAUCAUAUCUUCUAUUUCUAUAUAUAUAUUCAAGUCAAUGACUAGAGAACAAGUGAAGAAGCUACAAAGUACAAGAUCACUCUCUAUUGAAGUGAGAGGACAUAGGUUGUCCUUGAAUCUGAUCUCUUUAUUAAUGUGCUUCACUAUUUAUAUAUGAGUUUUUAAAAUUAUAUACACCAUCACUGUUAAGAAUUUUUACACCAUGAAAUGCACAAGCUGUCAUCAAUGAUAGUUGAUCUAAACCAGCACAUUAUGUUGGACAACUCUCAAAGGGCCUCAAAUCCACAAAGACCAGAAGGAAAUGAAUAAACACAACAUAAUUCUGAGAUUCAACUUAUAUCGUUUACAUAUUUUGAAGAUCAUUCAACAACAACAUACCCAGUAUUAUCUCACACCGUGUGAUUUGGGAGGUUAGUGUGUACACAGACCUUACCCUAUCUUGUAAGGAUAGAAAGGUUGUUUCCAAUAUACCCUCGGCUCAGGAAAGUAGAAGUACCACACUGAUGAAAAUAUAGACAAGAAGGGACAACACCAAAGAGCUAUAUAAAAACAGAAUAAAAACAACAAGAUAGUAAGGUGAUCAACAAUGAAAGAAAACAACAGUUAGCUAGUCAUAAAAACUUACUACCAAUAGAAAGCGAGACUGCAUGCCAAAACUUCUGUUAUGAACAUUCUAGAUGACCUACUACCCUAAUCAUCGACCUCCAUACCUUCCUAUCAAGGGUUAUGCCCUCGGUCAGAUGAAGUUGCGACAUGUCUUGCCUAAUCACCUCUCUCCACCUCUUCUUUGGCCUACCUCUACCUCUCUGUAGGCCCUCCAAUAUUGUCAACCUCUCACACCUCCUCACCCUCCUCUUCACACGAUCAAACCAUCUAAGUCGCGCUUCCCGCAUCUUAUCCUCAAUAGGGGCCACAUCUACCUUGUCAUAAAUAACAUUAUUCAUAAUCCUAUCUAACCUGGUGUGCCCGCACAUCCAUCUCAACAUCCUCAUCUCUACUACCUUCAUCUUCUGGACAUGAGUGAUCUUGCUAAUUUAUGUUACAUAAAUAAGCAAAAUUUUAACAAUUUGAAGAGCAUUAUGAUACAUACAGAAGGAGAACAAGUACAGACGAAUUUCAACUGAUUUAACCGAUUAAAGAUCCAAAACCACAAAAAAAUAUUGCAUGAUAGCAGCAAACUGAAUAUGUGUGGAAUGAAACUUAAUCAGUAAAUUAUCCACCUUUAAUUAAGUGGAAUCUAAACUUUGCGUACACAGCCCCUGUUAUAAGACGUGCCCCUAUAGAACCAUGUGAAUGGACCAGUUUCAUGACAUAUUAAAGUUAUCAUAAGAUAAACCAUUUUAACUAAUAUUUCUUAAUAGAUAAUUAGUUAUUACUUAUUUAAAUAUAAUAGCCUGUUUGGCCAAGCUUCUUUUUGGCCAAAAGUGCUUUUGGCCAAAAAUUGAGGUGUUUGGCCAAGCUUUUGGAAGGAAAAAAAAAUACUUUUGAAGAGAAGUAGAAGCAGUUUUGGAGAAGCAGAAAAAAAUAGUUUCUUUCCAAAAGUACUUUUUUGAGAAGCACUUUUUGAGAAAAAUACACUUAGAAGCAGUUUUUUUAAGCUUGACCAAAUACUAAUUGUUACUCAAAAGUGUUUUUCAAAUUAAUUAGUCAAACACAAAUUGCUUCUCACCAAAAGUAUUUUGGAGAAAAACACUUUUGGAAAAAAGCACUUCUCAAAAUAAACUGAUUUUUACAGCUUGGCCAAACGGGCUAUAAGUGAAAAUCAGUUGUAUUAUCCAAAAAUAAACUUUCAGGAGAUAGCCAUUUAUAAUUUAGAGUAUUGGGCUUAAACUGUUGGAAUUAUUUUGGGGAAAAAAUCCAAUUUACAAUUGAUAAUUGAAAAAUGACCACAAAAUUCAAAAAUAAUCAAAAUUUACCCAUUUUUUUCAUGUAAAGAAUUCUGAACAAAAACACCCUUAAAAUCUAGAAAAAUUCCAGCAUAAUAUGCUGGAGUUCGAAAUUUUUUACAUAUGAGAUUCCAACAUAAUGUGCUGGAAUUUCAUAAUGUACUAGAGCUCCAAUAUAAUAUACUGAAAGUUGCACGCAUGAGCCUUAAUCGAGCAUAUUAUGUUGGAACUUUCCAUGUUUCAGCUAAAAUAAUGGUUGUUUUUCAAUGACUUUGCAAACACCUGGCUAUUUUUUGAGUACUAGUUCAAAAACUGGCUAGCCUAUGCUAUUUUCACCUUUUUCUUUUUAGGAAUGUGCGAUUUUUUAAGAUGCUAUUUUUGAAAGAUUAAGUUGUGUUUUUUAUGUUAGUAACUCUUCAAAAAUAUACAAUGUUGAGAAUGUAUAACCAAAAAUUGGACUUAUUUUUAGAAGAACUCGGGUUACUGAUAAUCAAGUAGAAAAAGAAAUAAUUGGUGUAAAUAAUAACUGAAUAGAAAACAAAGUAAAUCAGUAUAUUCCAAUAGUAUCUUGUGCCCUUACAAAUGUUCAUUCCUCACCUUUUAUAGCUAUUUCUAAGUAAUACGUUUUUCUCCUUUCAUAAUGGUGUCAUUAUGGACAAUUAAUGGCAUUUAAUGUAACGUUAUAAUUGGCAAUCAUAAUUGAUUCAAUACAAAUUUUAUAACGUUUUUCGUAAUUAAUGCCUAUUAAUUACCAAUAAUACGUAUUUAUACCCCUUUUGCUAUUUAGGUUUAUUCUUCCGAUGCCUCUUCAGAAUAUCAAGAGGUUCGAGCACCUAUCCCUUCUGGCUUUCUUGGAUCUUUGCCCGUGCCUGCUAAAGCUCGUUUCUCUUUAACUAUUCUUUGCCAACUGUCAUUCUUUUACCAAUCCACGUGUCAUGACAUGUCACCACGUAAUUAAUUCGAUACAUUAACUUGAUUUUUCCCAAUACAGAUAGUCCCCCUACUUGUCAUUUAUUCAUCAAUAGAAUAUUUGGGAAGUGGAUCUCAUUAAAGCGGGAAUUCUUGCCGCCAUUAUACCUUCUCUGGAACUGACGCUUCAUAUGUCACUUCUAUUUAAUGCUCGUGAUGUGUGGCAUCUUCUGACUGGUUCUGCAACUUUUCAGCAUCUUUUAGGGCUUUUUUGCGGCUUCAUCAAUUACGAAGCGAUAGUUUUCAUCAUGACGUUUCCAUCAUUACACCUUUUUCUUUGACGGUUGCUUCUGAGUAUAAAUAUAGCUUUUGUCUUUGUCUUUCUCAUAAAAAGUUUCAUAUCUUAGAAUAUUCACUCUUAUUUUCUUCUUCCUCGUACUGCCAUGUCUUCUUCAAACCCUAAUCCUCGAAGAGUCCUCAUUGUUGAUGAUCUUCCUCUUGUUAGAAGCAGAAGAGGAGGAAGACUUUGUAGUUUACGGUCUUCAUCUAUACGGGGUACUUCUUUACCUCCAGUGAGUUCUACUCCUCCUUCUAGAACUAGGGGUUCUCUUUCCCAUAUACCUUCAUCUAGAAGUAAAGAUUCUAAUGAACCCAUUUGUGAGCCUUUGGUAAAUGAAAUGGUCCCUGCUGAACUAUCUUUCUACACUGAUAGAGAAUAGAUUAGAAACCAAGUUUCUUUUAUGUCUUCUUUAGAUCGUGCUGAUAUUUAUCCUUCUUAAAUCACCGAAGGUCUGAUCUCUGUUGUUCAUAGGGAUUGCCGUUGGAGACCAGAUUUCCCUAUUAUAAUUCCUAAUUCAAACCAAAGAAUUACAUCCUACUUGACUGGGUUUUCUUUUAUGUAUACAUACCCCUUUACGCUGAAUUUUAAACCCCACAUUGAUCCUGUUAUUAUUGAAUUCUAUCAUUUUUUCGACGUUUGUCUAGGACAGAUUGGCCCCAUUGUAUGGAGGGUUGUUGCUUGUUUAAGGUAUUUAACAAGGUUGGCUAAUUUGCAUUUUACUUUCUUUCAUUUGAUCCAUCUCUACUCCCCUAAACUUUUCCGUCAUAGAAUUUUCACUUUCGUGGCGAGAAGCAAGAGAGUGUUAGUUAGCCCAGAGGAUGAUAAGGACCGUGGCUAGUAUGCCAGGUUUGUUGCUUCCCCCACUAUUGGUUUAGUGGGUGAAGUAAAUGUUUUUCAUUUCCUGAAAAGUGGAAUUUUGCACGUAAGUUUUCCUUUUACAACUUUCUCUAUCUUUUCCCUUUAUUUUUUCCGCUACUGUUUAACUCUUUCUCUUUUCAAGCAACCAUGAGAACUGUUGAUGAGAUUCCCAAUUUCCGUGAUUGGGUAGGAAAGUUAUUGAAAGUUUUUCCAAUGAAAGGUAGAUCUUGGAAAAACCUUUCGCAUAGGUUUAGUUGGAAGGUUAAAACUCAUGGUAAAUGUUUUACUCAUCUCAUUUUCACAUUUUCAUUCACCUUUCCUUUAGAAUUUAUUUUGACCCUUCUUUUUAUCAGGAUUUCCUAUUCGUGGUGUAAGUUCUGAUGCUGUCGUGGCCUCUAGAGUUUCUUUGGAGAGAGCUCAAGAGAUAAUCUUGAGUUCUUCAUCGAAAAGGAAGGCUGAUACAACCCAGGAUUCUGAAGAAGAGGAGGAACAUGAUGGAGGUUCCUUGAUUAAAAGGACAUGGGCCAGAAGACGCGUUUUCUCAGAUGAUGAAACGACUCCUCCUCGUUUUGUUCCCAUAACCGAGGCUGUUGAAGCCACCUUGGUGAGCUCUGAUGAUGAUACUCCUGCGGCAGCUCGUGGCUCUGAUUAUCAGCUUUUUUCUCGUGGGUUUAAUAGCGAAAAUUUGGAUUUGGUUUUCGAUAAAGUACCCCUUGCCUCUUUUACCAUGUCUGUUCCUGUGACACGUUCUAUGCCAGUUGUGACUACUACUGUUGUUGCUCCCCCCUAAAUUGUUAUGACUUCCUCUACAGUCCCAUCUACUACCAUUCCUCGUACUGAAGUUGGUUCUUUGAGUGGAAGUGGUGUGAUGAAACAGAUUACCAUUGAGGUCCCUGCCGAUAGUAAUCUUUUGAAAAGUCAGGCCGGGUCGACGUAUAGUUGAAACAUCUAAUCGAUCCAGUUGAGAAAUCCAAGCUCGAGAGUCAUAGCUCUUUGACUUGGAUGAAUGACAUAGUGCAAUCAUCAUUAAAGGUAUUUGCUUCUUUUUUCACUUUAUUCCAUCCUUCUUUUAUUAAUGUUUUUAUCCCUUUCUUCUUUUUUAGAUCAAUCUUAUUGGUACAGAGAUGAUGAAGAGGGUUUCUCAUACGGAGUAGUUAAUGCAUGAUUAUCAGAUUGAAGCAGACAACCGAAAAGUACAAUAUGAAAGCCUUCAACUUGAUAUGGAAAUGUUAGAAGAAAACAAGUGCACCUUAGAGAAGCAGUUGAAUGUUUUGACUUCAGAGUUAGCAGUUGAGAAGGCUUCCUCAAAUCAAACUAACAAAGAAAAAAAUCUUCUCGAGACAUCAUUUUCUGAGCAACUCUCGAAAGCCAGUGACGAGAUUAGGGGGUUGAAGGCAUUGUUAAACGAGAAAGAGGUUUAUGCUGGUGAACUUGUUCAAGAACUUACCCGGACCCAAGAAGAUCUUCGUGAGUCUUCUGAUAAGUUCAAAUUUUUAGAAGGUUCACUUGCCCCUCUGCAAUCUUCUUAUGAUGUUGCUUUGGCCGAGAAAGAAAAGCUUAAAAACGAGAUUGACUAAUGGGAGAUAGAUUAUGAGAUUCUUAAGGACAAGACUGCCAUUGAAGUGAGUUGGGCUAUUCUAAACACACGCCAUGAUACCCUUGUGGAGACUAGCCAAGCGGGUUUUAACUUGGAUACUGAGUUAGCCAAGAUAAAGGAGACCAUUGAAAAAACUCAGCAAGGCCAAGAUUUUCAUUCUCCCAUGGCCGAUACUCCUGAGCAUGUUGAAGAUGAUAUAGUUACGGUAAAUGCCCCAGCUUCUUCAAGUCAAUUCGAACCUUCUGCUGCUAAUGAUACCGCUUUAAAUUCUUCUUUUGCCAUUUAGUGAAAGUUUAAGAAGUGUUACUCCUUUUUUUUCUUGGAGGUUUUACCCCUGGUCUCAUUUGGGGGUUUAAUUUUUGGAAAUGACAGGUCCCCAAAUCUUUUCGGGGUAUUUUAUAAAAAUGACAAUUAGUUUAUGACUAAGUUUAUACAUAGUCUAAACUUAAUAUUAUGAAGUUUUUCGUUUAACUUAAUUGUCUUGGGCUUCUGUUUUGCUCUCUUUUGCCUUUACUCAAGGUCUUGUUUGUUAAUUUGUAGGUUUUUGUCUUAUCCUUGUUAAUUUUCAUGGAUAUCUGAAUUAAACAUGAAUUUAUAAAAGAAGGCCCUUUUAUUUUUGACACUUAAUGAAGAAGACGUCUCAACUUCAUAACGGUGUAAAUAUACGAAAAAAGAAAUAGGAACACACAUGUUUCUUGAAAUAACUUUGAUAAAGUUUUCAUUUGAACUUUGUCAAGUUUAAGUAACAUCUUACAUGUAUUUAAAUAUCUUCUAUAACUUUUUCGUAACUGUUUUCUUUACAACAGAUUUGCAAAAAAAGGAAAUAAAAUCUAAGGUUUUUUUAACCCAUGGCUAAACAUUGCCUUAAACCUAGACAUCAUAAGAUUUUGAAAUCUAUAUGAAGAUUUUUUAACUGGCUUGUGUUAUUGGCUCGUGACUUUGCUCUGAACUUGAUACAUUUGAUGAGUAGACUUUGGGCUUGACUUGAAUUUAACUCGAAUUCAGUCUUCUUUGCCUUCUUUAUACAUAUAUCAUAUGUAUAUUAUAUAGUUCCCAAGUGUUUGAGCUUUGAAGUAUGAAAUCUCGAACACUUGAUUAUUCCUUCCAUGCGGUCCUUUUCCUGAAAAAGGAAUGGGACUUGGAGGUACGAUUUUAGAUGAAGACUGCUUAAUCCAUAUAAAUUUCUAUCAGAAUAGCUGUAACCCUAGACCGGUAAUUAUAUUUUUUUCAUGUGUCUUGCAGGUUGAAAUUCAUCAUUUAGUGUAGGCUAGCUUUUUGCCUAUCAUCUAAAAUCGUUAGUAAAAUUUUAACAAUUCAAAAAUAAAAGUUUAAAAUGAGGGUACCUACCCAUGGGUAUUUCCUUUCCUUAGAAAUAGUAUCUCUUUAGAUGAACAACAUUCCAAUGUGAAGGUAGAAUCUUGCCAUCCAUUGUUUCCAGUUCGUAUGCUACUUUUCCUGCGAUACCGUGAAUCUAAUAAGGUCCUUCCCAAGUUGGGCUUAACUUUCCUACAUUAGCUUCCCUCAUUGAUUGGAAAACUUUCUUGAGUAUCAGUCCCCAAUAUUGAAGUAUCUGAGAUGAGCUUUCCUGUUAUAGUAUCAUUCCAUAACUUGUUUUUGUGCUGCCAUCCUUAUUAAUGCAUCUUCCCUCUUCUCUUCAAGUAAAUCCAGGUUUAUUCGCAUUUCUUCUUCAUUUGACUCCUCAGUUGCUUGUGUAUCAUGCUUGGUUCCCCUAUCUCGACUGGGAUUAAGGCUUCAGCUCCGUAUAUAAGUGAGAACGGUGUUUCCCCCGUACUUGUUUUUGCGAUUGUGCGAUAAGCCCACAAGACUCCAGGUAACACCUCUGGCCAAUUGCCUUUAGAUUCCUCCAACCUUUUUUUAAAUUGUUGAUAGUGACUUUAUUCGUUGAUUCAGCUUGUCCAUUACCCACCAAAUGAUAAGGCAUUGAAGUAAUCCUCUUAAUUUGCCAACUCUGAAAAAAUUCUGUGAUUUGCGUGCCUACAAAUUACGGGCCGUUACCACAUACAAUUUCCUUUGGUACACCGAAUCGGCAUAUGAUGUUUUGCCAAAUGAAAUCUCUGACCUCUUUUUCUCGUACCUAUUUAAAGCUCCUGCUUCUACCCACUUAGUAAAGUAAUCAGUGAGUACUAGUAAAAAUCUUACUUUGCCUUUAGCUUGUGGUAGAGGACCCACGAUAUCCAUCCCUCACUUUAUAAAAGGCCACGAUGCAGUGACUGGAUGCAAUAAUUCAGUAGGUCUAUGCAUGUUGUCACAUUUAGCCACAAAAUUUUCCGUGUCUUCUUCCAUUUUGUGCCAAUAAUAACCGCCUCUAAUCAUGGUUUUACUAAGGAUCUUCCUCCCGCGUGAUUUCCACAAUGUCCCUCGCGUAUUUCUCUCAUCACACACUCUAUUUGAGAAGGUCCGAGGCAUCUAGCUAGGGGACCACCAAACUUUUUGCGAUAAAGAUUGCCUUGCUUUAAACAUUACCGAGCAACUUUUUUAUGGAGUGCUUGAGCCUUUUUCUUAUCUUCAUGUACAAUUCCAUACUGCAAAAAAGUGACAAUCUCGUUCCUCCCAUCCCAAGUUAAAUUAUUGAAAUUUACCUCAUUUUUGUCUUGAUUAAGUACUGAAUGAAAUAAAUGAAUUAUAGAAGCAUUUUCAUCAUUCGUCACUUCUGCCGCAGAUGCAAGAUUAGCUAGGGCGUCUGCCUUGACAUUUUCUUCUCUUAGUAUCUGCACGACUUUCCAGGUUUGGAAUUGCCUAACUAGAUCAUGUGCCUUUUAGUAUUGCUGCAUUCUUGCUUCUCUGGCUAUAUAAGUCCCCAGCAUUUGGUUAACAACGAGCUGUGAAUCGCUUUUGAUUACGACCUGUUCUAUGCCAAGCUCGCAUGCCAGUUCUAAACCUGCAAUCACAGCUUCAUACUCUGCCUCAUUGUUAGUAAUAGGGUGACAUUUUAUGGCUUGUCGGAUGGUUUCUCCCGUAGGUAGUACCAAGACAAUUCCUAGACCUGCCCCUGUCACAUUCGAUGAACCAUUAGUAAAUAAAGUCCAAGUCCUGGAUUAGACCCAUUGAAUACCUGUAGCUCAUUUUCUGCUUCUAGUUGUAUCCCUUGGCUAAAUUCCGCCACAAAAUCUGCUAAUACUUGUGACUUUAUUGCAGUUUUAGGUUGAUACGUAAUGUCAUAUUCACUCAGCUCUAUGGCCCACUUGGCUAACCUACUUGAUAACUCGUGUUUAUGUAAUAUAUUACAUAGGGGAUAGGCAGUUACUACAGAGAUGGGAUAACAUUGAAAAUAUGGUCUUAACUUCCUAGAUGCCAUGAUUAAUGCAAGUACAAGUUUUUUUAGAUGAGGAUAACGAGUCUCAGCAUCUAAUAAUGACUUGCUAACAUAAUAAAUUGGAGACUGUUUACCUUGAUCUUCACGAAGUAAAACAACACUCACCGCUACUUCUGAAACAACAAGGUAGAUGAGUAGUUUCUCCCCAUCUUUUGGUUUUGCAAGCAACGAAGGAUUUGACAAGUAUACUUUCAAAAUUUUAAGCACUUGUUGACAUUCCUUAGACCAUUCGAACUGAUCCUGCUUUUUUAGAGCUGAAAAGAACUUAAAGCAUUUUUCUGAUGAUUUGAAAAUAAAUCUUCCUAAGGCUGCUAUUCAUUCUGUUAGUCUCUGUGCCUUUUUUUUACUUGUAAGUGUAUCAGGAGUUCCCUCAAUAGCUUUAAUCUACACUGGAUUUACUUCAAUUCCAUAGUUAGAAACAAGAAAUCCCAAAAACUUACCUGACAGAACGCCAAAUACACAUUUCUCAGGGUUUAGCUUCAUGUUAAAUUUACGGAGAAUCUGAAAUGUAUUAGACAAGUGUUGGAUAUGAUCCCCUGCUUGUUGUGACUUGACCAUCAUAUCAUCUAUAUAAACUUUCAAGGUUUUCCCUAAAUGUUCUUGAAACAUUUUGGUCACCAACCUUUGAUAUGUGGCUCCUGCAUUCUUGAGACCGAAUGGCAUUACUUUGUAAUAGUAAGUCCCCCUGUCUAUUAUAAAUGAAGUUUUUCCCUCAUAUAUGGGAUCCAUUUUGAUUUGGUUAUACCCUGAAUAUACAUCUAAAAAACUUAACAAUUCAUGUCCUGCGGUAGCAUCAAUUAGUUGUUCUAUAUGCGGUAAUGGAAAAGAAUCUUUAGGACAAGCUUUGUUUAGGUUAGUAUAAUUUACACAAACUCACCACUUACCAUUCUUUUUAGGUACUACUACAGUAUUAGCUAACCAAUUUGGAUAUAUUACCUCGCAGAUAGACCCAAUUUUUAAAAGUUUUGUACAUCAUCUUGAAUCACCUGAUUUUUGAAAGAUCCCCUCUUUCUUUUCUUUUGUUUGACAGGUGAAUAUGAUGGAUUUUUAUUUAACUUGUGAGUCAUUACUUCCAGAGGUAUUCCUGUCAUAUCAGAAUGGGACCAAGCAAAACAAUCCACGUUACUUUUCAAAAAUUCAGUCAACUUACCUUUCAUUUCGUGGCUUAGGUUGGCCCCGAUGUAGACUUUCCUUUCAGGCCAAGGUGCGAAUAGUUCUACAGCUACCAAUUCUUCAAUUGUUGUUUUGAUAUUUCAUUUUCCUCUGGUUCUUGGAUGGAAUCGGGCCUCGAGUCUAGAUCUGUUCGCCCGUGUUCAGUUGAGGUUUGUGUUGCAACAUCUUCAACUGGAUUCUGUAAUUGCUAUUUUUCUUCAUUUUUUGCGCUUGAAACUGCUACGGAGUUUAUGCUCCUAGACAUUUGUUGAUCACCACGGAUUUGUUGUAUUCCCCAUUGUGAAAGGAAUUUAAUAACUUCAUGCAUGGUAGAUGGAACAACAUCCAUUUUGUGAAUCCAUGGUCUACCGAGAAUAAUAUUGUAAGCCAUGUCCAUCUCUACCACCUAAAAUUUCGUGUCUUUGACUACUUCCUCUGCGAAUGUGGUGAGUAUUAUCUCCCCUUUUGUUACGACGCUCGAGUUGUCAAAACCAGAUAAGGUAUGCACCUUGGGUAUCAGCUUAUCUUCAGCUUGCAUUUUGUUUAUCACUCUUAGCAAAAUGAUGUUCACGGAGCUAUCUGGAUCAAUCAAAACUCGUUUCACAUUAGUGUCAUGUACAAGUAAAAAUAUUGCCAGUGCAUUGUUGUGUGGGAUUAAUACGCCAUCUGCAUCUACAUCAUCAAAUGUAAUAUUUUCUUCUUCUAAAACAUGUUAAACUCGCUUUCCAUGUGUGACUGUAAUUUUUGAAACUUUCUUGGCUGCCGUAUAUGUCACGCCAUUAAUUUCUUCUCCUCCGCUUAUAACAUUAGCAAUCCUUUUUGGUGAAGGAGGUUUAGGGGGCUCCUGCCUGUUUUUAUAUACGCUUGCUUAACUUUUUCAAUAUACAAUUCGGUUAGAUAUCCUUGCUUUAACAAAUGGUUAACUUGACCUUGUAGCAGUCUAUAAUCUGUCGUUUUGUGAACAUGAUCAUUAUGAAACUCGCACCAAAAAUUAGGAUUUCGCCUGUUCUGGUUUGAUCUCAUUUUCUUUGGCCAUCGUACCUUAUCUCUCGUGCUUCCUAAUACUGCUACUAACUCUGAUGUACUAACAUUGAAAUUGUACCUGCCAAACUUCACCUUCGAGCCUCUAUUAUCAUCUUGCAUUUCGUUCUUUUCCAAACCUUGAUGAUGAGCUUGAUUCUCUAUCUCUCGAUCUAUGAUCGUACCUUGAGUUAUCCUGCUUUGAACGUGAGUCUCUUCCUGUUGGUCCCAUAUAUGGCUCGUACCUAUUUUUACCAGACCUUUUUUAGUUUCAGCACGUCUUGAACUUACCCUCUCCUCUUUUUGAGACCGAGUAAUGGUAUUUUCUUCUAUCCACAGCUUCGUGAUGUAUCUGUUGUAAACAUCAUUCCAAGUUGUUGCUGGAAAUUCACGUAGACUUUUCUUGAUUCGUCUCGUUGCUUCUGAGGUUUUCUCAUUUAGAUUACUGGCAAACGCCAUAGCCACCCAGUUAUCAGGUACGCGUGGUAACGUCAUCCUUUCAUGCUGGAAUCUGUCUACGAAUUCUCUGAGUAGCUCUGAAUCUCCUUGCUUUAUUUUGAAAAAAUCCUCCAUUCUUUUUUUGACUUUUUGAUCUCCCGAGUGUGCUUUGAUAAAUGAAUCUGCAAGCUCAGCAAAAGAAUUUACAGAAUUUUCGGGUAAAAGAGAAUACCAUGUUAAUGCUCCCUUAGUGAGUGUUUCUCCGAAUUUUUGACCAAUAUUGAUUCAAUUUCUUGUUUGGUCAAGUCGUUGCCCUUUACACCGGCUGUGAAUGCAGUUACUUGGUCUCGUGGAUCAGUUGUUCCAUCGUAUUUUGGAAUAUCAGGCAUCUUGAAUUUCUUCGGAAUUGGUAGAGGAGCAACACUUGGCUUCCAAGGUUGUUGUGAAUAUUUGUCCAUAUUUAUUCCCUUGAUCACAGGUGGUACUCCAGGUAUUUGCUCUAUGCGGUCGCUUUGCUUCUUGAGCUGUUUUUGCAAAGUUAAUACUAAAUUUUGUAAAUUAGAAUAAACUGUGUUACUUGGUUCUCCAUCACGGGACUCGUUGGGAGUUCCACAACUGCCUAAAUUAACGAGUCUAGAACGAGGGUUUUCCAAUGUGUUGUUAUUAGGAGUUGGUGUUGGCGGCACAACUGGCAACUGCCUGGUAAAAGCCUGGAGAGCGUUGUUGACCUGUUAAGCAAUUAAUUUUUUUAGAGCUUCAUCGAUAGUUUGUUCAUUUGCAACUCUGUCAUUUUUAUUUGAUUCAAAUCUGUCUGGAGUCCCCUUCCGUGAUUGUCGCUGAGAAUGUUGUGGCGAAGGAGGUGGGUUCUGUCAACUUGUUCAUUCAUUUGAUGAUGUGGAUCUUGGAGUAGUAAAUUAUGUUGGUUAUUGUCGUUGACAUUCGACAUGAUUGUUUUUGAUAAAAGAAUCGAUUUUGAAGCUGAAUAUUAUCAGAUUCCCGGCAACGGAACCAAUUUGUUUAACCAAAAAAUGGAAUUUCGGUCAAAUCUUAUUUUUAGAAGAACUCGGGUUACUGAUAAUCAAGUAGAAAAAGAAAUAAUUGGUGUAAAUAAUAACUGAAUAGAAAGCAAAGUAAAUCAGUAUAUUCCCAUUGUAUCUCGUGCCCUUACAAGUGUUCAUUCCUCACCUUUUAUAGCCAUUUCUAAGUAAUAUGUUUUUCUCCUUUCAUAAUGGUGUCAUUAUGGACAAUUAAUGGCAUUUAAUGUAACGUUAUAAUUGGCAAUCGUAACUGAUUCAAUACAGUUUCUAUAAUGUUUUCCGUAAUUAAUGCCUAUUAAUUACCAAUAAUAUGUAUAUAUACCCUUUUUGCUAUUUAGGUUCAUUCUUCCGAUGCCUCUUCAGAAUAUCAAGAGGUUCGAGCACCUAUCCCUUCUGGCUUUCUUGGAUCUUUCCCCGUGCAUGCUAAAGCUCAUGCCUCUUCACCUAUUCUUUGCCAAUUGUCAUUCUUUUACCAGUCCACGUGUCAUGACAUGUCGCCACCUAAUUAAUUCGAUUUAUUAACUUAAUUUUCCCAAUACAUUAUUUAAAAGAUAAAUUUCCAAUUGGGCUAUAAUGGUUGACAGGAAAAUUAAAAGUGGGCUUUCCAUUUAGUACAAGAAAUGGGCUUCUUUUAGGCCUCUUCUUGUAUUUGCUUUUUGAGAUUUUGGCAUGGAGUAACAAUGUAUUCACAUAAUUAGCAAACAAUUUUAGCAUGGUUUUCGUAUAACAUGCAUCAAGAAUAUUUGACAUCCUAUAACAACACAUAAUAGGAAUUGGUAAUUUCUUAGCCUUAUAUUAGGUUUGGCAAAGAUAGCCCCAAAUAAUAGGUAUUAUAUAGUCAAAUCUUAAAAAAACACUCUCUUUUAUAUUCUCUCUAAAAAAAAACUACACGCUUAUUUUGGCUUCCAUCCCCUUUCUCUCCUUGUUUUCUUCUUCUAUCUCUUCUCUUUUGCUCUCAUAGUUUAGCAAAAAUUCUUGCAAAUUAUGCAAAAAAAAUCAGUGGGAUGAAAUGGUAAGGUUGAUCUCACGUCAGAGAAAAUCAGAAGCAAAAACUAAGAGAGAAAACAUAUAUUUCAACUUUGUUUUUUUUUUGGUUGAACUGAAUGAGUGGGUGUGAUUGAAAUUGGUUGAAAGUACCUAAACGAGGCUAUAUACAAAAUUUGAGCAAGAUUAACAAAAAAAAAAGAGAAAAAAUAUAUUUUAACUUUAUUUUUCUUCUCUCUUCCUUUUUUUGGUUGGAUUGAAUGAGUGGGUGUGACUGAAAUUGAUUGAAAAUACCUAAACGAGGCUAUAUAUAAAAUUUGAGCAAGAUUAGAAGUGAUUUAAAUUAGUUUCAAGUAAAAAUCAGACCUAAAAAUCCAACUGUAAUAUGUGUAUAUCACGUUGUAUAUCGUGUACAUCAAUGUAUAUCACACACAAUUUUAAGGACGUCUAUGUAUAUCACAUUGUAUAUCGUAUAUAUAACACAAAUUUUCAUGGAUAUUGUCACAACCCAAAAUCCACUAAGAUUGUGAUGGCGCCGGACACCGCUGUCAGGCAAACCAACUAAAAUACUAAAUUAAAUUCUCAUUUUAAAUAUUUCCGAAAUCACUUCUUAUAUGCAUUUAGACAAUACAUAGUAAAUUCCUCUGAAUAAAUAAUGAAACAUUUAACAACUUUAAAAAUUUCUGAAUAAACCCAUAGACAUCCCAGAACCCGGUGUCACAAGUGCAUGAGCAAUUUCUAAGAAAUAAUGUAAUACAACAACCGUCCGGAAUACAAUAUUGGACAUAAAAUAAAUACAGUAAUCUGAAAGAGACUUGCUGGUUGCGGGUCAUCUCGGGAGGCACUGCUCACCUAAGUCUCCAUAUCAACCAUACUGCUACGCUCAGUAGGCCACUAGAGAUACAUGUGCCUGUACAACAAAAAUGCACAGAAGUGUAGUAUGAGUACGAAAACAACGUGUACCCAAUGAGUAUCCCGUCUAAUCUCGAAUAAGUAGAGAUGAGAGGUCGACUUCGACACUUACUAGUGGUCCAAUAAUAAUAUAUUAUUAAUGCGAAUAAUCAUGGAUUUAUUAAGAAUGACAGUAAUUUCAAAUAAGUCACGAACAGGUAAAAGUUCCUUUUUAUAUUAAAAGUCUCCGGAUUCAUAAUCCAUUAGUUUUCAAUUAUCUCAAGUCGGGGAGAGCAAAUAUCAAUAUCAAAAAAUCUCAAGGCAAGCAAUACAAGCAUGUGCAAAUCAUGCCGAAGGCGUACAACCCGAUCCAACAAUAUUUAAAUUGUGCACUGCCAGAGGGUCAAAUGGCGCGAAACAUAGAUGCGCCUAUUUAAUCUGCCGAGGCGUUCGGCCCGUUCCAGAAUUUAAACACACGCAGAUAGUCAAUCAAGAAGUCAACAGGGAACAAUUAUCCAAAGAAGCGCCAAUUCUCUUUUAAAGAUUUUUGAAAAUGAAAUUUAAAUCUUUUUAGAAAUUCAUUUACUAAUCCGAUAUGAUUUAAGCAAUUCAAAUUGUCAACAAGGUUUCAAAUAUUCCAAGUAAAGCAUGAUUCUGUGUCCUAGUCUACCCGGACUUACACAUAAUAGUAGCUACGCACGGACUCUCGUCACUUGUGCGUACGUAGCCCAGACAAAUAGGAGCACAUAACCAAUUAUUUCACCUUGGGGACAAUUCCCUCUUACAAGGUAAGAAAGGAGACUCAUCUCGCUCCGAAGAUCCAUAAUCGGCAUUCCAUGUUCUUCCGAAGACUCGAAUCGAUGAACAAAGCUCAAAAGCUAGCCAAUAAUAAUAUCAAUCCAUUAUUAUGUACUCAAUUACCCCUAAUGAUCCAAUUUAUAACAAUUCCUAACCCCGAUCGAAAAGUUAACAAAUACGCCCUCGGGCCCACAUGCUCGGAUUUCAAAAAAUUUCGAAGGAUAAGUUUACCCAUAACCUCACGAACUCAAAUAUAUAAUUUACUCUAAAUUUCAUACCCAAAGUUGUGGUCAAAUUCCAAAAAUAUCAAUUUUCUAGGUUUUCCUUCAAACCCAAAGUUUCUACCAAUUUCAUGCUCAAAUCCGUAUAUAAUCAUGUAUUUACCAAAAACUAGCAUAAAUUACUUACCUCAUGCUUGGUGGUGAAAAUGGCACCUCAAAGGUGCUCCAAAAUCGGCUCCAAUGGAAGAAAUGGGGUUGAAAUGAACCCAACCCCCGCUUUAAAAGAACCUCAUUGCCUCCAGCAUUUCCGCACAUGCGGUCACUUGGCCGCUUCUGCGGUCCUGCAGGUGCAGUUCCAAUACCGCUUCUGCGGUCCUCCUCCAGCUGCCCCAGUCUGCUUCUGCGCCACACCAACCGCAUUUUCGAUCACGCAGGUGCGGGAAUUCCUUCGCACUUGCGGUCCCCGAUCCCUUCACUUCUAACAGCUUAUGCGGUGCCCUUCUUCGCUUCUGCGGGGCCGCUUCUGCGGUGAACCCUCCGCAGAAGUGGUUACACCAGCAACCAGACCCUUUUAGCGCAUCCUUCAAGCUCCAAUUCGAUCCAUUAAUCACUCGGAAUCCACUCGAGGCCCCGAGGACCCCAACCAAUCAUACAAACCAGUCCCUAAACACAUUACAGACUUGCUCGAGGCCUCAAAUCAUAUCAAAUAACGCUAAAACCACGAAUGGACCUCCAAUCCAAGCUUUAUGAACUUUAGAAUUUCAAACUUCUACUUUCGAUGUUUAAACCUUCAAAUCACGUCCGAUUGACCUCAAAUUUUGCACACAAGUCAUAUUUGCCAUUACCGACCUAUCCAACUUCCGGAAUCAGAAUCCGACCCUGAUAUCAAAAAGUCCACUUCCGGUCAAACUUCUCAAAAACCUUCAAGUUUCUAUCUUUAGCCAAAUGACUCCAAAAUGACCCAUGAACCUCCGAAUUCACUUCUGAACAUGCUCCCAACACCAGAAUCACCAUACAGAGCUAUUCCCAAACUCAGAAUUCCAAACGGACAUUGAUAACACUGAAAUGCACUUCAACCCAAACUUAUGAAAUUCCUUCAAAAUGCUAACUUCCACAAUAGGCGCCAAAACAUUCCCUAGUCUUCCAAAACCCGAUCCGGACAUACGCCCAAGUCCGAAAUCAUCAUAUGAACCUGCUGGAACCUUUGAAUCCCAAUUUCGAUGUUGUUUACUUAAAAAUCCAAUCUUAACUAAUUCUUUCAACUUAAAUCUUCCGAAAUGAUAAUUCUCUUUCCAAAUCAACUCCGAACUUCCCAAAAUUCAAUUCCGACCAUGCGUAAAAUCAUAAUACCUGAAGUGAAGCUACUCAUGGCCUUAAAUUGGUGAACGACGCGCUAGAGCUCAAAACGUCUGGUCGGGUCGUUACAUUCUCUCCUACUUAAACAUACAUUCGUCCUCGAACGUGCUAAGAACUGCACUGGAGUUUCCCAAAAUAACUGUUUAACACCUUAUGCACCUAUCCGUGCUACCAAAACUCAGUUGAGCACAUUAGCUCGAUCAAUUCUGAAGAUAUUCCCUAUUAUUCAAGCAAAUAAGCUUAGAGCCCAAUUCCAACAUCCGAAAUUCUCUGCCAGGCCUGCUUCCAAUAUAUGAACACCGUAUCAAAUACUACACGAGGUACAAGAACAUGACUGCAUGCCUUUGUUGAAUUCUCACCAUGCAUCACAUUAUUCACAGGACCAUAAUAACAUUCUCUAGUUGUAAUAACCAGCAUUCCCUGAAUCUGAUGCUCACAACGCACCUCAAGAUAUAUAUAAGUCUUGUUCCAACUCUCGCAAUAUCGUCACGACAGAAGAGAUAUGUAGAAAUUCAUAACCAACUGCCAAGUCAACAAAUCAUUGAGGCUACACUUCCAGACAAAACAUUACUUCAUUCUAAACCAAAUAAUGCCCUUUGCUCUUUAAUAUACUUCAUACAAUCCGAUUGCACUGAUCCUAGAUCCAUUAACCUUGUCUCACCCAGUACAAACUGCUCAAGCAUCAAGCCACCCCAGACAUGGCCAAAAGUCUCGUAUGAUGAUACAAUGUGCCAAUAGGCUACCAACUCGAACGUGAUACAUAAGGAAACCGAACUUUGGAAGGGACUACUCAACUCAUGUUGCUAAUAUGGACUUUCCUCAGAAAAUGAAAAACAAGACACACAAAAAUUAGAAUACAGAAAACUGUACUCAAUAUCAUACUGUUGCGGCGUGCAACCUGAUCCAAACAAUAUACCCAUGGCGGCGUGCCACCCGAUCCACACAUAAAAUUCACAUAAGGAGAUACACACCGAGCUAAAUUUCUCAUUAUAACAAGAUACCAAAUAUCGGUCCCAAGCACGCUAAGUGCAUAAUACCAUCCCUAAAGGGACAUAUAGCGCCAUAAGCUAACAACUCAAGCACAGCUGGGGUACAAUAUAUGUUCUGAGGCUAAGGAGCCAUCCUACUCACAUAUCACCAUCGCUAUGCGGAACCUCAACACAUAAGAAAACUAUCGAGCCAUUCACAACUCACGCGGCACAAUAUAGCAUUACAUGAAAUAGCCAACGACGAAAUAACACCCCAUGUCUGAAUACUCCUCCAUAAGGAGCGCUAUGCUAAAAUGAACAUAUUCGGCCUGAUAUAAGGCCUAUAUUCACAUUUAAAUCCAUCCACAAACCUCAAGCCGAUUCUAAUCGCACUGAACUAGGCUAAUAACCUUUCAAAGGUCCAUAAUAACUCCCCUUUUUCUCAUAACAUAUAAGAACAACCAUCAUAAUCGGAGUAAUCCUCCACAAUCCACAACUCAAUAAAUCAAGUGCCCUCCAGGCAUCAAUUCCCAAAUCAACGACAUCACCACAAUCUUCACAUUUGGUUUACUUUUCAACCCAUCAAGUGAUUACAUGCCAUACUUAUACGACCUUCCCGUGGGGCACGCCCCCACAACCUUCCAUAAUAGAUGACAGGUAUGUACAUCCAAGCCACCGGCCGCACUAACGCUGAAAAGCGAUAAAAAAUCCUUAACCAGGAUGCAAAGCCUUUUUCACAAAGCACCAAUCUCAGGUGACGCUGAGGACAAUACCAACUUACUUUAAACAUCGCAACUCCCUUCCUGCUCAUCCGAGCCCAUGACAUCCUUGUCAACACAGAAUUGCAACCUUGAUCCUUACUUCAAUUUUCAUACCACUUAAUGCACCCAUCAUGCCAAUAUGCGAUAGAACACGAUUUUCAUCAUAACUCCGGAACCACUAAUAGGUUAACACUUCAUCAUAUAAAACUUUUCACUUAACUCACUUCAGGAGAACCAUAGCAACACAUAGGUGAAUUCCCAUAACCGUGGAAUAUGCAAAUCUUCAAGUAGUGGUCUAAGCCAACCUAGCCCUUCCGGGAUCUGGCUACAUAUAACAGGCCAUAACGGUGGAAUACUUCUGAAUAAUAUCAAUUACGAUGGCCGACAAGCCUCACACGUACCGCCACAAAUCCCUCGCAUAGCUUGAUCACGCUGAAGGAACUGAUCACUACCACCAAUAUGCCAAUUCAACUAUGGCUAAUCAAUCUAUCUUCCUCUAAUUUAUCCUUGAUUACCUUAAAAAUAAUAAUAACUCUAUUCAACACAUAACAUACCCCAUCCGCACUCAUUCCGAGUGACCUUGAAUCACGAGACCACGCUGUCUCCAAUCCCACGAACCGUUUCAUACCUCCCUUGUGCACACAUUCGAAUCCUCAAGCAGUAUGCCCAUUCUGAUAAUCCUCUAUGAAUCCAAAGUCAUUUCUAACUUUCCUCCCAAAUUCUACAUUGCGAGUCAAAACAUCAUAGAACAUUCUGGGCUUCUUCUCAUAAGCUGCUACGAAAGGUUGAUUCUUAACCAUACUUAUAGGCUUAAAAUCAUUAGGCACCAUACUUUAACCUUUGAAUCCACUAGGACCGUUGUUGAGAGCCACCCGCUCUGACUUGGCCCUGAAUAUAAUCAACUCCAUGAAUAUUCUAGCACAUGAAUACCCUCUCGACAAAGCAGCCGGAAGAAUCAUUUUCCUUGAAACCCGUAUCUAUACAAGGCAUAAAUCCUGAAUCCUUCCCCGAGUCUGAACAUGAGUUAAUAAGGCCAACCAUAACAUACCUUUAACAAUUCUUUUGCUCAAAUUACCACUUAUGUUAUUUUCCCACAGCUGUAAUAACCCAUCAAUAUGCUAAUAACCAGAAACCUCACAAGUAGUUAGCCAUGCAACCCAAUCCUAAGCGGUGGGACUCUCCCACUUAACUUGAAUCCACUAUUACACAACUUUGGAAUUCACCAGGAUUCUUUAUCUCUUAUUGACAUAACCUUGCGCAAUAAACCACAAAAAUUCUCAGAAUCUUUCUGUAAAACCCCCUUUUCAUACUCUGAAACAUUAACCACAUUCGCAUGACCGAUCUUUUUGCUGUAUAAUCAAUAGAAUUCUUCGCAGAAACUUUGCCAAUCCAUGCGACCGCCGAUCUGCUCACUAGAGAUAACCCACCUAUGGAAUUUACAUGUCGACGUCUUCCAACGCUGCUGCAUGGGGUACAAUCACUACGAUAUCAAUAACCCAUCCUGAGUCCGAGCUCACUUUCUAGCUGCACAAGUCCAUUCACCCCUCGUGAACAUUAAUUUAAUAUGCGGUAACAUCCUUCCAAUUCAAAGUUACGUUGUAUCCUUAUUCAUUUCAAGUAGCGCCUUUACGUUAUAUCAAAUCUUCUGCCGCAUAAUAGCCCAUACUUCAAAUUAGAUCCGUAGACCCCAAUCAACAAUCACUAAAAUUUCCAAGUCAUUCCAAACUCUCCUUAAGGUGCGUAGUCAUCCUAACACAUUGUCCAUAUGCAACUCCGCCACUCUCCCACUUUGGCGGAACUCACCCCUCUAAUCGACCACUCAACCUUUCCUUCUUAUACCUGGCCUUCUAGAAUUUUAACAACCGCCUAACACUCCCCACAUGCCCUUUCUCAUCUUUUGCUGCUCAGUCUUUUCUCGAGCCGUCGACAUUAGAAACCCCGAUUCAAUCUUGAACCACCACACCCCGCGAUAUCCAACCAUCAUUUCUCCAAUAUUAUUUCACAAUAUCCUACCCCAAGGGCGAAUUGUAGAAGACCAUAACACCAGCGAACUUAACACAUACAAUUGAGGAUGACGACACUACAUCGCAGAUGAAAAUUCCACCACGCUCGAAAAUACCAAGUCUCGCUACUCUAUCACCCCAAAUCUGGACAUUCAUAGGCCAAUUGCUUUUCCUCCGCCGAAAAUGAGCUAUCCGAUCUCUGAAUCGUGCGCUGAGUAGACUUCCUUUCAAAUCAUUCACCGCCCCAACACAUAGGCAAGUAUCCUACCAUCAAGUUAAUACCGUGGGAUAACCAAUCGUGAGCAUCACAACAAUCUAUGCAUAGCCUUAAAGCUCUCAGGAAUACUGUUACUGAGCCAAAAUGAAAAGAUAUCCUUCCGCAAGGCAACGACAAUAGCCCAAUCAACUAUUCAGGGAGAAUCCCGCACCACAUUGGUAGUACCAUUACAAUUCUUUAAUUCUCGAUUUAUAGCAAGCGGUUCGCGUUGCAUAAGAUUGAAUAGGAAGGAAAUAAAGGCAUAAGCCUCAAAGGAAUCAAACCACACGAUGAGGAAUCAAGAAGGGAAAUGCUCCUAACAGCCCCGUAGCUUCUCGAAGAUAAGUACAGAUGUCUUUGUACCGAUCCGCAAGACUCUACUAGGCUCGCUCAUGACUCGUGAGACCUAAGGGAACCUAGUGCUCUGAUACCAUGCUGUCACGACCUAAAAUCCACUAAGGGUCGUGAUAGCACCGAACACUGCUGUCAGGCAAGCCAACAAAAAUACUAAACUAAAUUCUCAUCUUAAAUAUUUCCGAAAUCACUUCUUUUAUGUGUUUAGACAGUACAUAGUAAAUUCCUCUAAAUAAAUAAUGAAACAUUUAACAACUUCAAAAAUUUCUGAGUAAACCCAUAGACAUCCCAGAACCCGGUGUCACAGGCGGGGUUCUAUUAUCUUGUUCGUUCAUUUGAUGUUGUGGAUCUUGGAGUAGUAAAUUGUGUUGGUUAUUGUCGUUGACAUUCGACAUGAUUAUUUUUGAUAAAAGAAUCGAUUUGGAAAGCAGACAAUUAUCAGAUUCCCGGCAACGGAACUAAUUUAUUUAACCAAAAAAUAAAAUUUCGGUCAAAGCUUAUUUUUAGAAGAACUCGAGUUACUGAUAAUCAAGUAGAAAAAGAAAUAAUUGGUGUAAAUAAUAACUAAAUAGAAAAUAAAGUAAAUCAGUAUAUUCCAAUUGUAUCUCGUGCCCUUACAAGUGUUCAUUCCUCACAUUUUAUAGCUAUUUCUAAGUAAUACGUUUUUCUCCUUUCAUAAUGGUGUCAUUAUGGACAAUUAAUGGUAUUUAAUGUAACGUUAUAAUUGGCAAUCGUAACUGAUUCAAUACAGUUUCUAUAACGUUUUCCGUAAGUAAUGCCUAUUAAUUACCAAUAAUACGUAUUUAUACCCCUUUUGUUAUUUAGGUUCAUUCUUCCAAUGCCUCUUCAGAAUAUCAAGAGGUUCGAGCACCUAUCCCUUUUGGCUUUCUUGGAUCUUUGCCCAUGCAUGCUAAAGCUCAUGCCUCUUCACUUAUUCUUUGCCAAUUGUCAUUCUUUUACCAGUCCACGUGUCAUGACAUGUCACCACCUAAUUAAUUCGAUUUAUUAACUUAAUUUUCCCAAUACAUUAUUUAAAUGAUAAAUUUCCAAUUGGGCUAUAAUGGUUUACAGGAAAAUUAAAAGUGGGCUUUCCAUAUGGGCUUCUUUUAGGCCUCUUCUUGUAUUUGCUUUUUGAGAUUUUGGCAUGGAGUAACAAUGUAUUCACAUAAUUAGCAAACAAUUUUAGCAUGGUUUUCGUAUAACAUGCAUCAAGAAAAAUUGGCAUCCUAUAACAACACAUAAUAGGAAUUGGUAAUUUCUUAGCCUUAUAUUAGGUUUGGCAAAGAUAGCCCCAAACAAUUGGCAUUAUAUAGUCAAAUCAUAAAAAAAACACUCUCUUUUAUAUUCUCUCUAAAAAAUUACGCGCUUAUUUUGGCUUCCCUCCCCCUUUCUCUCCCUGUAUUUAUUCUUCUAUCUCUUCUCUUUUGCUCUCAUAGUUUAGAAAAAAUUCUUGCAAAUUAUGCAAAAAAAAUCAGUGGGAUGAAAUGGUAAGGUUGAUCUCACGUCAGAGAAAAUCAGAAGCAAAAACUAAGAGAGAAAACAUAUAUUUCAACUUUGUUUUUCUUCUCUCUUCUUUUUUUUGGUUGAAUUGAGCAAAAAAAUUUGAGCAAGAUUAGAAGUGAUUUAGAUUGGUUUCAGGUAAAAAUCAGACCUGAAACUCCAACUGUAACAUGUGUAUAUCACGUUGUAUAUCGUAUAUAUAACACAAAAUUUCAUGGAUAUUGUCACGACCCAAAAUCCACUAAGGGCCGUGAUGGCGCCGGACACCAUUGUCAGGCAAGCCAAUCAAAACACUAAAUUAAAUUCUCAUUUUAAAUAUUUCCGAAAUCACUUCUUUUAUGCGUUUAGACAGUACAUAGUAAAUUCCUCUGAAUAAAUAAUGAAAUAUUUAAAAACUUUAAAAUUUCUGAAUAAACCUAUAGACAUCCCAGAACCCGGUGUCACAAGUGCAUGAAUAAUUUUUAAGAAAUAAUGUAAUACAACAACUGUCUGGAAUACAAUAUUGGACCGAAAAUAAAUACAGUAAUCUGAAAGAGACUUGCUGGCUGCAGGUCGUCUCGGAAGGUGCAGCUCACCUAAGUCUCUGUAUCAACCGUGCUGCUACGCUCACUAGGCCACUAGAGAUUCAUGUGCAUGUGCAACAAAAUGCACAGAAGUGUAGUAUAAGUACGAAAACAACGUGUACCCAAUGAGUAUCCCGUCUAAUCCCGAAGAAGUAGAGACGAGAGGUUGACUUCGACACUUACUAGUGGUCCAAUAAUAAUAUAUUAUUAAUGCGAAUAAUUGUGGAUUUAUUAAGAAUGACAGUAAUUUUAAAUAAGUCAUGAACAGGUAAAAGUUCCUUUUUAUAUUAAAAGUCUCUGGAUUCAUAAUCCAUUAGUUUUCAAUUAUCUCAAGUCGGGGAGAGCAAAUAUCAAUAUCAAUAAAUCUCAAGGCAAGCAAUAUAAGCAUGCGCAAAUCAUGCCGAGGACGUACGACCUGAUCCGACAAUAUUUAAACUGUGCACUGCCAGAGGGUUGAAUGGCGCAAACUAUAGAUGCAUCUAUUUAAUCUAUCGAGGCUUUCGGUCCGUUCCAGAAUUGUCACGACUCGAAAUUUUCCACCCUCAGGAGUCGUGAUGGCGCCUACUCGUAGAAGCUAAGCAAGCCACGAACUUAGAAAUCUUUAACUCUUCUGUUUUAAUCUCUUUUUAUAACUUAUAUUAACAAGUGGUAAACAUCUAAAUGACAGCGGAAUAUGAGAUUUAAGCGAAAGUCUUAAAUAAAUAUAAAACCAAAAUGUUUCAAAAAUCAACACAUGCCUCUACCCAGAAACUGGUGUCACAAUAUCCACGGACUACUAAGAGCAGUACAUACAAUAGUUUGAAGGAAGAAUAACACUAUUUGUCUCAGAUACAUGAGAUAACAGAACAUAAUAAAAGAUAGAGGAGACACCGGGCCUGCGAACGCCUGUAAGGCUACCUCAAUGUCUUGGUGGACUGAAGGCUGGCUCCCCUAUUAUUGUUGAUCAAGUUCUUCUCCAAUAUCUGCACAGAGUGCAGAGUUUAGUAUCAGCACAACCGACCACAUGUGCUGGUAAGUGCCUAGACUAACCCCGGUGAGGUAGUGACGAGGCUAGGACCAAACUCCAGAUAACCCUGUGCAGUUAUAUAAUAUAUGGCGAAAACAAACAGGAAUAAGCAGUUUAAAAUAGAAGGGGGUACAUGCUUCGAGGAAACAUAUCAAGACCAAUAGNNNNNNNNNNNNNNNNNNNNNNNNNNNNNNNNNNNNNNNNNNNNNNNNNNNNNNNNNNNNNNNNNNNNNNNNNNNNNNNNNNNNNNNNNNNNNNNNNNNNNNNNNNNNNNNNNNNNNNNNNNNNNNNNNNNNNNNNNNNNNNNNNNNNNNNNNNNNNNNNNNNNNNNNNNNNNNNNNNNNNNNNNNNNNNNNNNNNNNNNNNNNNNNNNNNNNNNNNNNNNNNNNNNNNNNNNNNNNNNNNNNNNNNNNNNNNNNNNNNNNNNNNNNNNNNNNNNNNNNNNNNNNNNNNNNNNNNNNNNNNNNNNNNNNNNNNNNNNNNNNNNNNNNNNNNNNNNNNNNNNNNNNNNNNNNNNNNNNNNNNNNNNNNNNNNNNNNNNNNNNNNNNNNNAAUGUUGCGGUGCGCAACCCGAUCCCUUAUCAUUUAACAUUGUUGCGGCAUACAACCCGAUCCACAUAUAUAUAGCUGUUGCGGCGUGCAACCCGAUCCAAUAUAAUAUCUGUUGCAGUGUGCAACCCGAUCAAAUGUAAUACCUAUUGCGGCGUGCAACCCGAUCCAAUUAUACAAUCAACAAUAAUCAUAAUUAACCGUCCCGGCAAGGGAUAAACAAUAGACUUCACUAUCCCGGCAAGAGAACUCAGUAGUACAAGUAUAUACGUCCCAGAAAGGGAGAAUUAGCUAUAACCAAUCUUAACUCAACUCCUACUCGUCUCAAUUACCACUAUUUCUCAAUCAUAAGUAGGUUCCACGAUAAACAAACUAAGUCUUUGCUCAAUAUCAAGGAUUUACUCUUUAUUUCAACCAUAGUAACAUUCAAGAAUACAACAAGUAUUAAUUUAAGACUCAGGGUCAUGCUUGACACCAACAUAUAGAUACUCGUCAUCAUGCCUAUACGUCGGACUCAACAAGAAGCAAGUAGCAAAUAGGACUCAACUCUUAAUCCCUCAAGCUAAGGUUAGACCAGACACUUACCUCGAUGCCUCGAACGCAACUCAACUUUCAAUUAUAGCUUUACCCCUUGAUUCCACCGCCAAUUCGCUUGUAUCUAGCCACAAGUUACUUAAUUACAUCAAUAAACGCUAAAUGAAUCAAUUUGGAUGCAUGAAAAUGAGUUCUCCAAAGUUUUACCCAAAAAGUCAAAAUCGCCCCCUGUCUUACGUGGUCAAAAUCCGAGGUUCGAACCAAACCCGAUUACUCAUUCCCCCACGAACUCAAAUAUAUAAUUUGUUUUGAAAUCAGACCUAAAAUCGAGGUCUAAAUCCCCAAUUUUUGCAAAAAAAGAAAGAAAAAAACCUAGGUUCUACCCAAAACACCCAAUUUCCCCAUGAAAAUCAUUGAUUUGAAGUUGAAAUCAUGUUAAAAGAUGUUAAUGAUUGAAGAAAAUUAGUUAAAAAUGACUUACAAUUGAUUUGGAGAAGAAAGGUUGUUUGAAAAAUCGCCUCUUAUGUUUUGGGGUUUUGAAAAAUGGAAAAUAAGUGAAAAUCUCGUCUAUUUAUACCCCUCUCAGACCCCCUGUGCUGACCGCACAAAAUGGACUGCGGUCGCGCAGGCCUUCUUGAGGGUACUGUGGUCCGGUGCCCUAUGCGGAACGCACAAAAUGGACCGCGGCCGCACAGGCCUCCACUGCGCACCGCACAAAGCCGACCGCGGACCGCACUGGCCCUCUUCUGCGGCCGCACACGUUUUUGUGCGGACCGUACUGGCCCCCUUCCGUGGUCUCGCACGCUUCUGUGCGGACCGCACUGGCGGGUUCAGAGACCUGCAAUUUCUCUGGACCUACCACAACUGUGUUUUUAGGCCUAAGGUAUCCCGGAAACUACCCGAAACUCACCCGAGCCCUCGGGGCUCCAAACCAAAUAUACACAAAUUCUCAAAAACAUCCUACAGACUUAUUCAUGCAAUCAAAUCGUCAAAAUAAUAUCAUGAACAUCAAAUUAAAUCUCGAGAUCAAUGAAAUUUUCUCAAAACUUCUUUAAACAUCAACGUUGCAAUUUAAUUCUGAAUCAUGUCAUAUGACGUCUGUUUUUUUACCAAAUUCCACAAAAACGUCUUAAAUCAUAUAUAAGACCUGUACCGGGCACCGGAACCAAAAUACGGGCCUGAUACCAUCAUGUUCUUGCAAAUUUCAUUUCAAUUUUCCUUAAACAGUUUCAGAAAAUAAUUUCCUUUAAAAAUUCAUUUCUCAGGCUUGGGACCUCGGAAUUCGAUACCGGGCAUACGCCCAAGUCCCAUAUUUUCCUACAGAUCCUUUAGGACCAUCAAAUCAUGGAUCUGGGUCCGUUUACCCAAAAUAUUGACCAAAGUCAAAUUUAUUCAUUUUAUAGUCAAAACUUAUCAUUUUUCACAGAUUUUCACAUUUAAACUUUCCGGCUACGUGCCCAGACUGUUCACGCAAUUUGAGGUGGUGGUAAGGGAGGUUUUUAAGGCCUCGGAACGUAGAAUUUCAUUGCAACACAAGUGAUGACCUUUUGGGUCAUCACAUUCUCCACCUCUAAAACAACCGUUCGUCCUCGAACGGACAGAAGAAGAAAGUACCUGAGUCGCAAAAAAAGAUGGGGAUAAUGGCUCCGCAUAUCGGACUCGGACUCCCAAGUCGAUGCCUCAGUAGGCUGACCUCUCCACUGAACACGAAAAGAAGGAAAAGUCUUCGACCUUAACUGACGAACCUGCCGGUCUAGAAUGGCUACCGGCUCUUCCUCAUAAGACAAGUCCUUGUCCAACUGGACAGUGCUGAAAUCUAACACGUGGGAUGGAUUGUCGUGAUAUUUCCGAAGCAUGGACACCUGAAACACUGGAUGCACAGUUGAUAAGCUCGGCGACAAUUCAAGUCUAUAAGCCACCUCUCUCACUCGAUCCAGAAUCACAAACGGGCCAAUGAAUCUAGAGCUAAUCUUGCCCUUCUUCCCAAAUCUCAUCACGCCCUUCAUAGGCGACACUUGGAGCAAUACCUGCUAACCGACCAUAAAAGCCAUAUCUCAAACCUUGUGGUUUGCAUAACUUUUUUGCCUGGACUGAGUUGUACGAAGCCUAUCCUGAAUAAUCCUGACCUUAUCCAAGGCCUCCUGGACCAGAUCCGUACCCAACAAUCGAGCCUCACCCGGCUCAAACCAUCCAACUAGAGACCGACACCAUCUACCAUAUAACGCCUUAUAAGGAGCCAUCUGGAUACUCGACUGAUAGCUGUUGUUGUAGGCAAACUCUAGUAAAGGCAAAAACUAAUCCCACGAGCCUCCAAAGUCAAUGACACAAGCUCGAAGCAUAUCCUCCAAAAUCUAAAUAGUCCGCUCGGACUACCUGUCCGUCUAAGGAUGAAAUGUUGUACUUAACUCAACCUGCGUACCCAACCCUCGCUGAACUACUCUCCAGAAAUGCAAGGUAAAUUACGUACCUCGAUCCGAAAUGAUAGACAUAGGUACACCAUGAAGACAAACAAUCUCUUGGAUAUAGAUCUCAGCUAACCUCUCAAAUGAAUAGGAGACUGCCACAUGAAUGAAAUGUGUUGACUUGGUCAGCCUACGAACAAUGACCCAUUCUGUGUCGAACUUCUUCAGAGUCUGCGGGUGUCCAGUAACGAAGUCCAUAGUGAUCCGCUCCCACUUUCACUCGGGAAGCUCAAUCCUCUGAAAUAAACCACCAGGCCUCUAAUGCUCAUACUUAACUUGCUGACCAUUUAAACACCGAGACACAUAUACAACAAUAUCCUUCUUCAUUCUAUGCCACCAAUAAUGCUACCGCAAAUCCUGAUACAUCUUCGCGGCGCCCAGAUGAAUAGAGUACCGGGAACUAUGGGCCUCCUCUAAGAUUAACUCUUGGAGUCAAUCCACAUUAGGCACACAAACUCGACCCUGCAAUCUCAAAACUCCAUCAUCAUCUAAGGCAACCUACUUGGCAUCUCCGCGUUGCAGCGUGUCUCUAAGGACGCACAAAUGGGGAUCAUCAUACUGCCGAUCACGGAUACGCUCCAAUAAAGAAGAAUGAGUGACCGUGCAAGCUAAUACCCGACUAGGAUAAAAAAUAUCCAACCUCACGAACCGAUUGGCCAAGGCCUGAACAUCCAAAGCAUGCGGCUUCUCACCGACCAAAAUAUAAGCAAGGUUGCCCAUACUGGCUGACUUCCUACUCAAGGCAUCGGCCACCACAUUGGCCUUUCUCGGGUGAUAUAAGAUAGUGAUAUCAUAAUCCUCCAACAACUCCAACCAGCUCUUCUGCCUCAAAUUCAAGUCCUUUUGCUUGAACAAAUAUUGAAGACUCUUGUGAUCCGUGAACACCUCACAUGCCACGCCGUACAGAUAAUGACUCCAAAUCUUCAAUGCGUGAAUUAUGGUUGCCAACUCUAAAUCAUGAACUGGAUAGUUCUUCUCAUGAAUCUUCAACUGCCGCGAAGCAUAGGAAAUGACCUUGACAUCCUGAAUCAACACUGCACCAAGUCCAAUACGAGAUGCAUCAUAUUAGACUGUAUAAGGCCCCGAACCUGUGGGCAAAACCAACACUGGUGCCGUAGUCAGAGCUGCCUUGAGCUUCUGAAUGCUCGCCUCACACUCAUCCGACCAUCUGAACUGGGCACCCUUCUAGGUCAACCUGGUCAUCGGGGCUGCAAUGGAUGAAAACCCCUCCACGAACUGACGAUAGUAACCUGCCAAUCCCAAGAAACUCUGAAUCUCUGUGGUUGAUGCUGGUCUAGGCCAGUUCUUGACUGCCUCAACCUUCUUCGGAUCAACCUGAAUACCCUCUACUGACACAACAUGACCCAGGAAUGCAAUUGAACUCAACUAGAACUCACACUUCAAAAAUUUAACAUACAACUGACUAUUCCUCAAAAUCUGAAGAACCACUCUAAGAUGCUACUCGUGCUCCUCCCAGCUGCGAGAAUAUAUCAAAAUAUUAAUGAAGACUUUCACGAACGAAUCUAAAUAAGGUAUGAACACUCGGUUCAUCAAAUCCAUAAAAGUUGUUGGGGCAUUUGUCAACUCGAAUGACAUCACCAAGAACUCAUAAUGCUCGUACCGAGUGCAGAAUGUUGUCUUAGGGACAUCAAAUGCCCUAAUCCUCAACAGAUGGUAGCCAGAUCUCAAAUUAAUCAUUGAAAAUACCUUGGCACCCUGAAGUUGAUAAACAAAUCAUCAAUCCUCGGCAAUGGAUACUUAUUCUUGAUUGUAACCUUGUAUAACUGCCGGUAAUCAAUACACAUUCUCAUCGACCUAUCCUUCUUCUUAACAAACAACACCGGCGCACCCCAAGGCGAAACACUGGGCCUAAUGAAAUCCUUCUUAAGCAAGUCUUGCAACUGUUCCUUCAACUCUUUCAACUCCGGCGGGGCCAUACGAUACGUCGGGAUAGAAAUGGGCAGAGUGCCCAAAGACAAAUCAAUGCAAAAGUCAAUAUCCCUGUCGGGUGGCAUACCCGGCAAUUUUGAAGGGAAUACCUCAGGAAACUCAUGAACAACGGGCACAAAAUCAAUAGAGGGAACCUCAGCACUAGAAUCACGAACAUAUGCCAAAUAGGCCAAACACCCCUUCUUGACCAUGCGCCGAGCCUUCACAUAAGAGAUAACACUACGAGUAGAAUAACCAGGAGUCCCUCUCCACUCUAAACGAGGCAUACCCGGUAAAGCUAAGGUCAUAAUCUUGGCAUGAUAGUCCAAGAUAGCGUGGUAAGGUGAUAACCUGUCCAUCCCUAAUAUAACAUCGAAAUCUACCAUGUCUAAAAGCAAUAAAUCUACACGAGUCUCAAGACCCUCAUUCACCACAAUACAAGAAUGAUGGACUCGAUCAACUACAAUAGAAUCACCCACCGGUGUAGACACAUAAAUGGAAACACUCAAUGAAUUACUAGGCAUAACUAGAUACGGUGCAAAAUAAGAUGACACAUACGAGUAGGUGGACCCUGGGUCAAAUAAUACUGAAGCAAAUCUAUCGCAAACCAGAAUAGUACCUGUGAUAACCGCAUCUGAAGCCUCAGCCUCGGGCCUGGCUGGAAGAGCAUAACAUCGGGGUUGAGCCCCACCACCCUGGGCUCCAUCUUUGGGACGGCCUACAGCUGGCUGGCCUCCACCUCUAGAGGCCUAAGCUCCACCUCUAGAUCCUCUACCUCCACCUCUACCCCUACCUCUAGCUGGCUGGGUAGUCUGUAGAACACUGGUGCCUGGACCAUAGCAUGGGAAUCCUGCUGCUGCGACUGAGUACCCACCAACCUCGGACAAGUCCUCCUAAUAUGACCAUGCUCACCACACUCAAAACAUCUACCUGAGUGUUGUGGCUAAUGAAAUUGAGACUGAACCUGGCGACCCGAAUGACCACCCCUAAAACUCUGGAGAGGCGGUGCACUAAUAGGAGCUGGUGGUGCACUGUAGGACUACUGAUCGAUAUACUACAUCUGUAGACCAUGACUACCUGAAGCGCCGUGAGAGACCUGAAGAGCUAACUGAAAGGGCCUAGGAGGAUGGCCUCUACCAUAUGAAUUUCUGCCUCCAGACGAGGCACCACUAAAUCUACCUGAAUGACGGGGCCUCUUAUACGACCCAUGACCACCUCCCAAUGACAGGACCAUCUCUACUCUACGGGACACAUUGGCCGCCUCCUGCCUCCCUAGCCAUCUGAAGGCGAAUCGGCCGAAUAAGACAAUCAAUAAACCUCCUCACCCUCUCUCACUCUUGGUAGAAAGUAUGACAAGAGCAUGGCGAGCUAAGUUGAUGAACCUAGUCUCAUACUGUGUAACCAUCAUAGAACCCUACUGGAGGCGCUCAAACUGCCUCCGAUAAGCCUCUCGCUGAGUAAUGAGGAGAAACUUCUCUAGAAAUAGCUGUGUGAACUGCUCCCAAGUCAAGGCUAGCGAUCUGUCUGGUCUAGCUAAGUAAUAAUCCCUCCACCAUGUCUUGGUGGAUCCAGACAAGCGAAAUGUAGCAAAAUCAACCCCAUUGGUCUCAACAAUACCUAUGUUUCUGAGAACCUCGUCGCAACUGUCUAGAUAAUCUUGGGGAUCCUCAGUAGAUGCACCGCUAAAAGUGGAAGUGAAGAGCUUGGUGAACCUAUCCAGCCUCCACAAAGCAUCGGAAGACAUAACCGCUCCAUCACUGGUCUAAGCUACCAUACCCGGCUGAACUGCUCCAACUGGUUGAACCGCUGAAUUCUGAUCUGAGGAGCUACCUACUCCGAAGUGCGAGUAGAAGGAGUCUGGGGACCUCCUCCAGCCUGAGAGACGGCUGGUGCUACAGGAAGCAAGCCCGCUCGGGUGACACUCUCCAUGAGGCUCACUAAUUGGACAAGAGCAUCCUAAAGGACUGGGGUAACAAUAAACCCCUCUGGGACCUGAGCUGAGCCCACCGGAGCUACUGGGGCCGGAACCUCAUCAUCAAAGUCAACCUGAGGCUCCGCCACUAGGGCUGCUACUCGAGACUGAGUUCUGCCCCUACCUCGACCUCUAGCACGGCCUCGCCCUCUGCCCCUCAUGGGAGCUGCUCCUGGGGGUUCGGACUGCUAAGCGGUAGAUGAGGAAGCACAUGUUCUCGCCAUCUAUGAAAGAAUAGAGUAGAAAUUCAAUUAGCAUUGAGAAACAAAACCGCACCACAGGAAAGAAUAGAUGUGAAGUUUUCCUAACUCUGUAGCCUUUGAGGGAUAAAUACAGAAGUCUCCGUACCGAUCCAUCAGAUUCUAUUGAGCUUGUCCGUGAAUCGUGAGACCUAUAUAACCUAGAGCUCUGAUACCAACUUGUCACGACCCGGAAUUUCCCACCUUCAGGAGUCGUAAUGGUGCCAUUCGUAAAAGCUAGGCAAGCCACGAACUUAGAAAUCUUUAACUCUUCUGUUUUUAUCUCUUUUUACAACUUUUAUUAACAAGUGAUAAACAUCUAAAUUAUAGAGGAAUAUGAGAUUUAAGCGGAAGUCUUAAAUAAAUAUAAAACCAAAAUGUUUCGAAAGUCAACACAUGCCUCUACCUAGAAACGGGUGUCACAAUAUCCACGGAUUACUAAGAGUACUACAUACAACAGUUUGAAGGAAGAAUAACACUGUUUGUCUCAGAUACAUGAGAUAACUAAACAUAUAAAAGAUAGAGGAAACGUCGGGCCUGCGAACGCCUGCAAGGCUACCUCGGUGUCUCGGUGGACUGAAGGCUAGCUCCCCGACUGCUACUGAUCAAGUGCCACUCCGGUAUCUGCACAACCGACCCCAUGUGCUGGUAAGUGCUUGGCCUAACCCCGGCGAGGUAGUGACGACGCUAGGACCAGCCUUUAGAUAAACCUGUGCAGUUAUAUAAUAUAUGGCGGAAACAAACAGGAAUAAGCAGUUUAAAAUGGAAGGGGUACAUGCUUCGGGGAAACAUAUCAAGACCAACAGAAAUUUAAUAAAAUAUGAAAGGACAGCUCAAUAUCUAUAACAAUACUAUUGCGGCGCGCAACCCGAUCCCUUAUCAUUUAACAUUGUUGCGACAUGCAACCCGAUCCACAUAUAUAUAACUAUUGCGGCGUGCAACCCGAUCCAAUAUAAUAUCUGUUGCGGCGAGCAACCCGAUCCAAUAUAAUACCUAUUGCGGCGCGCAACCCGUUCCAAUUAUACAAUCAACAAUAAUCAUAAUUAACCGUCCCGACAAGAUAUCAACAAUAGACUACAUUAUCCUGGCAAGGGAACUCAGUAAUACAAGUAUAUACGUCCCGGAAAGGGCGAAUCGGCUAUAACCAAUCUUAACUCAACUUCUACUCAUUUCAAUUACCACUAUUUCUCAAUCAUAAGUAGAUUUCACAAUAAACAAACUAAGUAUUUGCUCAAUAUCAAGGAUUUACUCUCUAUUUCAACAAUAGUAACAUUCAAGAAUACAAUACUCACGGUCAUGAUUCACACCAACAUAUAGAUACUCGUCACCGUGCCUAUACGUCGUACUCAAUAAGAAGCAAAUAGCAAAUAGGACUCAACUCCUAAUCCCCCAAGCUAAGGUUAGACUGGACACUUACAUCGAUGCCUCGAACACAACUCAAGUUUCAAUUAUAGCUUUACCUCUUGAUUCCAUGCCAAUUCACUCGUAUCUAGCCACAAGUUACUUAUUUAUAUCAAUAAACGCUAAAUGAAUCAAUUUGAAUGCAUGAAAAUGAGUUUUCCAAAGUUUUACCCAAAAAGUCAAAAUCGCCCCCGGGCCCAUAUGGUCAAAACCCGAGGUUCGAACCAAAACCCAAUUACCCAUUCCCCCACGAACUCAAAUAUAUAAUUUGUUUUGAAAUCGGACCUCGAAUCGAGAUCCAAAUCCCCAAUUUUUGAAAAAAAAAAAAAAGAAAAAAAAACCUAGGUUCUACCCAAAACACCCAAUUUCCCUACGAAAAUCAUUGAUUUGUUGUUGAAAUCAUGUUAAAAGAUGUUAAUGAUUGAAGAAAACUAGUUAAAAAUGACUUACAAUUGAUUUGGAGAAGAAAGAUUUGAAAAAUCGCCUCUUAUGUUUUUGGGGUUUUGAAAACUAGAAAAUAACUGAAAAUCUCGUCUAUUUAUACCCCUCUCAGACCCCCUGUGCGGGCCGCACAAAAUGGACUGCGGCCGCAUAGGCCUUCCUGAGGGUACUGCGGUCCAGUGCCCUGUGCGGACCGCAUAAAAUGGACCGCGACCGCACAGGCCUCCAUCGCGCACCGCACAAAGCCGACCGCGGACCGCACUGACCCUCUUCCGUGGUCGCGCACGCUUUUGUGCGGACCGCACUGGCGGGUUCAAAGACUUGCAAUUUCUCUGGACCUGCCACAACUGUGUUUUUAGGCCUAAGGUAUCCCGGAACAUACCCGAAACUCACCCAAGCUCUCGGGGCUCCAAACCAAAUAUACACAAAUUCACAAAAACAUCUAACGGACUUAUUCAUGCAAUCAAAUUGUCAAAAUAAGAUCAUGAACAUCAAAUUAAAUCUCGAGAUCAAUGAAAUUUUCUCAAAACUUCUUUAAACAUCAACUUUGCGAUUUAAUUCCGAAUCAUGUCAUAUGACGUCCAUUCACAGAAACGUCUUAAAUCAUAUAUAUGACCUAUACCGGGUGUCGAAACCAAAGAAUGGGCUCGAUACCAUCAUGUUCUAAGCAAAUUUUAUUUUAAUUUUCCAUAAACAGUUUCAGAAAACAAUUUCCUUUAAAAAUUCAUUUCUCGGGCUUGGGACAUCGGAAUUCGAUUCCGGGCAUACACCCAAGUCCCAUAUUUUCCUACGGACCCUCCAGGACCGUCAAAUAAUGGCUCCGGGUCCGUUUAUCCAAAACGUUGACCGAAGUCAAAUUUAUUCAUUUUACCGUCAAAACUUAUCAUUUUUCACAACUUUUCACAUUUAAGCUUUCUGGCUGCGCGCCCUGACUGUGCACGCAAUUCGAGGUGGUGCUAAGGGAGGGUUAUAAGGCCUCGAAAUAUAGAAUUUCAUUGCAACACAAGUGAUGACCUUUUGGGUUAUUACAAGAAUUUAAACACACACUGACAGUCAAUCAAGAAGUCAAUAGGGAACAAUUAUCCAAAGAAGCGCCAAUUCGCUUUUAAAGAUUUUUGAAAAUGAAGUUUAAAUCCUUUUAGAAAUUCAUUUACUAAUCCGAUAUGAUUUAAGCAAUUCAAACUGUCAACAAGGUUUCAAAUAAUCCAAGUAUAGCAUGUUUUUGGGUCCUAGUCUACCCGGACUUACACAUAAUAGUAGCUACGCACGGACUCUCAUUACCUCGUGCGUACGUAGCCCCACAAAUAGGAGCACAUAACCAAUUAUUUUACCUAUGGGGACAAUUCCCUCUUACAAGGUCAGAAAGGAGACUCACCUCGCUCCGAAGAUCCAUAAUCGGCAUUCCACGUUCUUUCGAAGACUCGAAUCGAUGAACAAAGCUCCAAAGCUAGCCAAUAAUAAUAUCAUUCCAUUAUUAUAUACUCAAUUACCCCUAAUGAUCCAAUUUAUAACAAUUCCUAACCCCGAUCGAAAAGUUGACAAAUACGCCCUCGGGCCCACGUGCCCGGAUUCCAAAUUUUUUUGAAGGAUAAGUUUACCCAUAACCUCACGAACUCAAAUAUAUAAUUUACUCUAAAUUUCAUACCCAAAAUCGUGGUAAAAUUCCAAGAAUAUCAAUUUUCUAGGUUUUCCCUCAAACCCCAAGUUUCUACCAAUUUCAUGCUCAAAUCCAUAUAUAAUCAUGUAUUUAACCAAAAACUAGCAUAAAUUACUUACCUCAUGCUUGGUGGUGAAAAUGACACCUCAAAGUUUCUCCAAAAUCGGCUCGAAUGGAAGAAAUGGGGUUGAAAUGAACCCAACCCCCAAUUUAAAAGAACCUCAUUGCCUCCAACAUUUUCGUACCUGCGGCCACUUGGCCGCUUCUGCGGUUCCGCAGGUGCGGUUCCAAUACCGCUUCUGUGGUCCUCCUCCACAUGCCCCAGUCCGUUUUUGCGCCACACCAACUGCAUCUGCGAUCACGCAGGUGCGGGAAUUCCUUUGCACCUGCAGUUCCUGAUCCCUUCACUUCUAACCACUUUUGCAGUUCCCUUCUUCACUUCUGUGGGGCCGCUUCUGCGGUGAACCCUCCGCAGAAGCGGUUACACCAACAACCAGACCUCUUCAGCCCAUCCUUCAAGCUCCAAUUCGAUCAUUUAAUCACCCGGAAUCCAUCUGAGGCCCCCGGGACCCCAACCAAUCAUACUAACCAGUCCCAAAACACAUUACAGACUUGCUCGAGGCCUCAAAUCAUAUCAAACAAUAUAAAAACUACGAAUCGACCUUCAAUCCAAGCUUUAUGAACUUUAGAAUUUCAAACUUCUACUUUCGAUAUUUAAACCUAUCAAAUCACGUCCGAUUGACCUCAAAUUUUGCACACAAGUCAUAUUUGCCAUUACGAACCUAUUUCAACUUUUGGAAUCGGAAUCCGACCCCGAUAUCAAAAAGUUCACUUCCGGUCAAACUUCUCAAAAACCUUCAAGUUUCUAUCUUUAGCCAAAUGACACCAAAAUGGCCCACGGACCUCCAAAUUCACUUCCGACCGCGCUCCCAACACUAAAAUCACCAUACUGAGUUAUUCCUAGACUCGGAAUCCCAAACGGACAUUGAUAACACUGAAAUGCACUUCAACCCAAACUUAUGAAAUUCCUUCAAAAUGCUAACUUCCACAAUAGGCGCCAAAAUGUUCCCGGGUCUUCCAAAACUUAAUUAGAACAUACACCCAAGUCUGAAAUCAUCAUACAAACCUGCUGGAACCUUCGAAUCCCGAUUCCGAGGUCGUUUACUUAAAAAUUCAAUCUUAGCUAAUUCUUUCAACAUAAAGCUUCCGAAAUGAGAAUUCUCUUUCCAAAUAAACUCUGAACUUCCCGAAAUUCAAUUUGACCAUGCGUACAAGUCAUAAUACCUGAAGUGAAGCUGAUCAUGGCCUCAAAUUGCUGAACAACACGCUAGAGCUCAAAACGACUGAUCGGGUCAUUACAGAUAUACACAGAUACACAUAAUAUACAUGUGAUAUCAUUGAUGUACAUAGAGAUAUACAUGAGUCACAAUAGGGGAUACACAUGUGGAGUCAUCUUGAACUUGAGUUUUCAAUCUGAAAUGUGUUAUACAAAGAAGGAAAAUAAAAUUUUAAUAAAUGUUUUUGAUAUACACAUUAUUAUUAUGUUAUACACUGUGAUAUACAAAUAAUAUAAUUAUUAAUUAUUGAUCAAAAGAGGAAAAUAAAUUUUUGAUAUAGCAUGUUUAAGCAAGUUCUAAAAUAUAAAAAUAAUAAAUAUAAUUGUGGGAGUAAAUAAUAUUUUGGUAUACAAAGAAAAUUAAUUUUUGAUAUACACAAAGAAGAAAAAUAAACUUAUGAUAUACACAUGUCUGAUGUGCUAUACACUGUGAUGUACAAAUAAUACAAUAUUUUUAUUGUGAUAUACAUUGAUAUAAAGGCAGCAAUAAUUAUAUAUAUAAUUUUAUAUUAUAUAUGUAGAAAGAAUAACAUUAUUUAUAUACAAAGAAUGANAAUAAANNNNNNNNNNNNNNNNNAGAAGAAAAAAAUAGAUAUUCAAUACAUUGACGUUCGUAGUAUUAAAUUAAAUAUCUUUUGAUAGCAUUAAUAUUGAUUUGAUUUUGGGUUGGGCUUUUGUUAGCAUUAUUUAAGUUUCUAAUAUUAAUCGCUAUAAAACUUAUUGGAACAUUCAAAAGUUCUAAGUCCAACCUUGAAAUAAUACCUUAAAAGAUAAAAUUAUGAAAAAGUUUAAGAAAUAUUUAUAAAUUACAUCACAAUAAGUAUAUUUAUAUAUUAAAUAUAUCUAAAAUUUCUAUAUAUGUAAUGUCGGGUUGGUUUGGUUUCGGUUUGACUUUCUUUAGUUAAAACCAAACCAAACCAAUUAUGGUCGGGUUUGUUUUUCCAACACUAAACCAAAUCAAACCAAAUUUUUUUCGGUUUGACUCGGAUUAUUGGGUUGGUGCGGUUUGUCGAUUUCCUUCUUACACCCCUAUAUAUAUACUAGCAAGGUAUGCCCGUGCAAUGCACGAGCCCGACAUGAUUAAUCUGAUUUAUAGUCUACCUGAAUCUCUUAGUAAAGAGUUGUAAACAACUUCGUUAUUCUUGUUUGGACCGAUAUAAUCAGGUGUCAAACUGGUAAAGCAACAAUUAAAUGACUAUAAAUCAUACAACAAAGAGAAUAUACCAAAAGAGACACAUACAUUUAACGUGGUUCGGUCAACUGACCUACGUCCAUGGCGGAGAUGAGCAAUCCACUUUACCUCACGAAGAGACAACCACAAGUGACACACUAACACUUGUCCCGUAAAGUUCUCCCCUUAAACACGACUCUCAAACCCCAUAUGGCUACAUUGUGGAUGCUACUGAAUGAGAAGGUGGAUCCUCAAUUUAUAGUAGUCCAAAUUUUUUCCUGCAAGAAAAGAAACUAGCCAAAUAUGGGAGAUUUAUAAUUUCCUUCUACAAGAAGGAAAACCCAUUUAUGGUAAACAUGUUGCCCUUUCCUUCAACAGAUAAGAAAACCAAAUAAGGAAAGAAAAUUAGUACAAUAUCUAACAAUUCUAAUGGUAAUUGCAUUGUAGCAAUGUAUACAAACGAUCUUUUACGUACAAUAUCAAUUCAGUUAUAAUUGCACAUAGUGGAGUUCAAAAAUUAAACAUGUAUUUUAAGAUUAAUGCAAUUAAGCUCCACCUAUUACUAUAACGACCUGAGCAGUCGCUUUGAACUUUUGCAUUUGAUCGCCAGUUCUAGGGCAUGACUUGCCAUGUGUAAGGUAUUAUGACUGAUGUCAAUCAUUGAUUUUGGUUUUCACGGAAAUCGGUAUGAAGUUGGAAGAACAGUCUCAAUUGAAAGCUUUGAAUUUGAAAGCUUUGACCAAGAGUUGACUUAUUUGUAUAGGAGAUCGGAUCGGAAUUUUUAUGAUUUGGUUAGCUUUGUUGGGUGAUUUAUGACUUAGGAGCGUGAUCGAAAUUGGUUUUGGAGGUCCGGUGUAGAAUUAGGCUUGAAUUGGCAAAGUUAGUAUUUUGGCGAAUUCCGGUUGAUAGGUGAGAUUUCGAUCCGAGGGUCGGAAUGGAAUUCCGAGAGUUUUUGUAUCUUAGUUAUGUCAUUUGUGAUGUGUGUGCAAAAUUUUAGGUCAUUCGGACGUGGUUUGGUUGGGUUUUUGAUCGAAAGCGUAUUUCGGAAGUUUUUAGAAAAAUUUAGGCUUGAAUUCAAUGUGAAUCGAUGGAUUUGGUGUUGUUUGAAGUGCUUUGAUUAUUGGAACAAGUUUGAAUAAGGUUUUAGGAUGUGUUGGCGCUUUUGGUUGAGGUCCCGGGGGCCUCGGGUGAGUUUCGGAUGGUCAAACGGACCAUUUUUGGUACUUUGAAGUUGUAGGUUUUCUGAAGUUUCUGUUGCAGACUUUUGGCCUUCACGUUCGCGAGAAGGCUCUCGCGUUCGCUAAGGGAUGCUUAAUGAGGCUGUGAAUUUGUCCUUCGCAUUCGUGAUAUUUGUCCCGCAUCCGCGAAAGGUGAGGUCUUGAGUGUUUCGCGAACGCGAUGUGUUUCCCGCAUUCGCAUAGAGUAAUUGGGGGAGCAGGGGUCCUAGACCUUUUGUGCUUUGCGUUCGCGAUGGUAUGGAAAGUGGAAGCUUCGCGUUCGCGCAGAAGGAAGCGUUGGCCUGCGAAGCAGUGUGCUUCGUGAAUGCGAGGAACAUGCCGCGUUCGCGAAGAAGCUUUUCUGAGUGCUGGGCAGAAUGUUUUAAAAAGGGUAUUCUGCGAUUUUGAGGCUAAGAACCUCCAUUGUUGAGCGAUUUUGGAGCUUGUGAGAUCUAAUUGAUGAGGGGUUCAAAGGGAAUCACCUGGAGGUAAUAUUUUUGAACUCAAUACUCGUUUUUAUUGUGAAAUUUACCUAGAAAUUCAUGGAAUUAAGCUAAAUAUGGAAGAACUAGUGCUUGGGAUUUUGAAACUUUUAAAUUGGGAUUUGAAGGACCAUUCAAGGUUGGAUUUGAGAACUUUUGAUAUGUAUAAACUCUUGGAAGGAUAAGGAACCCGUUGAUGCAAAAAUUUCUGAGUUUCGAGAAGUGGGCUCGGGGCUCGGGUUUUGGUAAUUUCAGGAUUUAUGCCCGUUAUUGAUUGUUUUCGCUUGGGCUUUGUUCCCUUAGCAUAUUGUGAUGUAUUCGUUCUGAUUUUGGAUAGAUUCGACGUGCGUGGAGGCCGAUUUGAGGGGCAAAGAUAUCGCGAGCUAGAGAUUUCGCCGGUUCGAGGUGAGUAAUGAUUGUAAAUAAUACUCUGAGGGUUUGAAACCUUGGAUUGCACAUCGUAGUGCUAUAUUGAGGUGAGGAACACGCUUGACGACGAGUGUGGGGUCGUAUACUACUAGGGAUUGUGACUUGGUCCGUCCCGAUUGAUGAUUUUACCGCGUAUUUAACUGAAAACUAAUUGUUAUCAUCAUUAUUUGGGCAUAGUGCCAGCUAUUUGAACCCUUCGGGGAUUGUUGUUGAUAUUUCCUCAUUGUUUUGAUUUUAUAAUAAAACUCAGUCAUGUUAUUUUCGACUAUUUUCAAAACUCUGCCAAGUUUAUUUUGCUUUAACACUUGAAAUGAUAUUUCGAACAACAUUUUUGGGGUGAGCAUCAUGUUUUAUUGUUGCCCGAGUGGCUUAUGUGAUUUUUGACUGUGUAAGGUCGAGGGCCUGUAUUGUAAGGAUACUUGUGGAUCGAGCUGCACGCCGCAACAGUGAGAUACUGAUUUGAUUAUGAGGCCGGGGGCCUGAGAUAUGUACGCCAUGAGGUGGAUUGUUAAUUGAUAUGAGGCCGAUGGCCUAGAUUUGAUGCCACGAGAUGGCUUGAUAUUGCGCUUGGGCCGUAAGGGGCCCCUCCCGGAGUCUGCACACCCCCAGUGAGCAUCGUCGACGAGAUAUAUGGAUCGGGCUACAUGCCAUAGCGAUACUGGUACUGUUCUAUGUGUUUACUUUAUUUCAUUUGUCUGCCAUUAUCUGUUGUUUGUGUUACUUCAUGUGAUAUCUAUCUGAUUGCCUGUCAUUAUCUGUGAAUUGAGUAUUGUGCCCGAGGAGCGGAUUUUCGUGCUUAUCUGCACUAUUUGUUUUGCACUCAUUUGCGUAACCAUUGAAAAAGCCAUUUUUAAAAGAGGUUUAAAUUGAGCUAAGAUGUUUUUCCAAGGAUUUCACAGUUUCACUGCUUUAGACUGCUCUAUACAGCAUGAUGGUUUGUUUUAUGUGGCUUCUUACUGCACAAUUAUUAUUUAUCUUUAUUACUCAGUGAGUUGGAGUACUCACUUUACUCCCUGCACCUCAUGUGCAGAUGUAGGUAUUUGUUCACCCGGUAGCGGGUUUUGACCUAGUCGGAGGCUAAGUCAGCGGAGUUUAGUGAGGUGACUGCCAGCGUUCGCAGCACCGCAUUUCUUCCCUUUGUUUAUCAGUCCUAUUUUAUAUGUUUCAGGCCUUGCAGUUGUAUUUAUACUCUAAUAGAUGCUUGUGACACCCUGGUUUGGGCUGUGUUUUGGGCUGUUUUCCGCACAUUAUAAAGAAAUCUUUCGUUUAGACUGUGGUUAUUUAAUUAUGCUAAAACUGUUUAUUAAUAUUAACUAUUUUGAAAAGGCAAAAUGGGUGAGUUGGCUGGCCUUGUCUUCACGAGAGGCGCCAUCAUGACCGGAUUGGGGUUUGGGUCGUGACAAGUUGGUAUCAGAGCCUAGGUUACAUAGGUCUCACGAGUCAUGAGCAGGUUUAGUAGAGUCUUGCGGAUUGGUAUGGAGACAUCUGUAUUUAUCCUCGAGAGGCUGCAGAACCUUUAGGAAAACUUCACAUUCUUGAAUUCUAAUCGUGCGUCCUUGAUCUAGCUUGAAAAGUAACUCUUGAAAUUCCUUCCACGCGUUCGUAUGCACGCAUGAGCACUCAGUAUCAGAUGUGCCUUGAUGGCUUGUGAUUCCCUAAUCGAGGGGCGAGAUGUGAUCUCUGGGAGUUUGAUGUUGGGCCAGUCAGGAGAACUUGAGGUCGGAUCUUUGCCUAUGGCUUGAGCACCAAGGUGCUGAUUGUGUGAGCAAGUGUGUUGCACUUAUAUGUUCAGUGUUGUCCCUAUUAGUGGAAGUGAUGGCUGGAUAACUGUGUGGUAAGUAUGUUAGUACUACGAGAUGUAUUUAUACAACUUGGAGGUAACGAGGAAGGCCGACUGGAGGAUAGAAGAACUAUUAGGUGCUUGAGUUCCAUCUUGAUUCAAAGUAUAGCCCUGAGUUUUGGGCUCAUGAAGGAUCUUUUUAUGUUUUCCAGUUGAGAGUGAAGUAAAUUUUAUGUUGCGGUACGAGUUCAGACUUAGGAAAAUUAAGCGACUGUGUAAUGUGUAUGACGGUGGAAGGUAUACAGAGAUGUUAGAUUGAGGCAAAGCAGGUGGAUUACCUCCUGCGGAGUGUUCUGAAGUGGUGUGAUCCUUAUGUGUAUGUUAGAAGAUCUCAUGUGUAAGUGAAAGGUACGUGUUGAAAUUUGAAAUUUUAGGUCGCUUAAGAGAGUGGGCUUAACUGUUGUGGGGAUGAAUACGAGAUUUGCAGAAGAUUUAAAGUACUAGAUGAUCUGUGUUUUCACAAGCUUACAAAAGGAUUUGAGCUUAAUCUCACUAUGGUAUUAUGGCAUCAAUAGAGUAUAAGUGUUAUGAGUUAUCAAGUGUAUUUUGAUCUAUGACUUCGAGCCAAGUGGGGGAGUUUGUUGUGAGUAGUUGGUUGCACGAUUAGGCGCUAUGUUGGUUCCAGUUUGAGGCGUGCGGGCGAAUCAGUUAUGGCUUGCGAAAAUUGAGACCGAGGAUGACUUGAGUCAAGGAAAUUUUUUGGCAAAGGUUAUAUUAUGCUUCAUAGAGUAAAAAAAUCAUGGGAUGUCUUAAGUUGUUGUUGGUAAAGAAUGCUCGGUGCGUAGAGCAGGAAGUUGCUUCGAUAUGUUGGGAUGAGGAUUUCAUUCUGCGGUGUCAGAGUGCUAAUGAGUCACGGGUGGUUCUGUUCGUUUGAUCAGGCUAAUUGUAGUUUGAAGAGAGUGAGUGACUCUCGAGAAUGGUUCUAAUGUGUUCGAGGUUCUACAUGUAACAAUUGGGUAUAUUAAAGUUGUAUAUAGGGUUAGAAAUUGUGUUUUCAUUGGAAGAGGUCAAGACUUGUGAUAUUUCUAUAUUGAUUAUAGGAUUCUAUGUAUCAGUAUCAGGAAAGCAAAGGUAACAGAUUUAUAUUUGUAGGAAGUUCCUCAGAGUAAAGUGUUCUGGAAUGUGGUGUUUCUGGGAGUAACUGAGUGAGUAUUCAGCGGCUUAUGGGUCUUAGAUAGUGUGGUCUUGUGCUUGGGUCUUGUGUGGUGAGCCUGGGUUGAGGAAUUGUGGUGCUACAACAAGAGAGAAUAUCAAGUUGAAAAUGAAUCAGAAGGAAAUUUAGAUAGAUGGAAUCGUUUGAUAGUAGACCGAAUCGGUAUGGUAAGGAUAUGAUUAAUUCCUUGUGUGUGUUCGAGGUAAUGAGUUCUUUCAGGUAUUUUGCGACGAUGCUCUUAGGUUUUAAUGGCUUCUUAGCUUGAUCGAGUUAGAAUGAUUCAGUCCUGACAUGUCUGAUUUGUGCAAAGGGAACUCGGAGAUUUCUUGAUGGUUUUUACCACGGUUUGGAGAUGUAUAUUUUCUAUGGGCAUGCGGACCAUGGGAUGUAUAGUGAUUUUUCUUCUAGAUUGGGACCAAUGGAAAGUUCUUAACUAAUUGAGUACGUAGAUGUUUGUGGCUCGAAAGGAAGAUGAAGUUCUUAUGUUAUCCUGAGAUGGUAUGGAUAUGCGGUAGGUUGUGGAGGAUUGACAAUUGCAUGUGGAAGGUUACAAUUCAGUUCUGAAUGGAAAGUCAAGAAUUCUUAGGCAGCACGGGCAGUUUCAGAUGAUUAAGGAAGUGGUAGUGCUAAGUGGGGUGAUUUGACGAGGGUAAAUAUUUUAGAAAAGACAAUGUGAUUAAGUUGAUGGUACUUCGGUAGUAUUGCGACACUUUCUUGUUAGAUCGACUGGUGAUAUUCAAGCUUUCUUAGUGGCACAUGGAAAUUUUUGAGUAUCUAUCGUGGAAUGAUUGGGUAUUUGAGGCGCAACAUGUACUCAAACGGCGAAAUUGGGAUCGGAUAUGGUGAUUCAUGGGCCGUGUGGAUUUGGAGACAGAAGUUCUCAUAUUCAGGCUAUGUUGUGGUUGUGGAUCGUGUGUAUCGGCACUAUUCAGCGACUAUCGGGAUUUGGAGGCUCGAGUGGAUCUUUCUUUGUUGGUAUAUUAGAUGUUGGAUGUGAUGUUGGAGUUCAGAUGGGUUGUCUCAGUGUUGGGUUAUUCUGGACUAUUACGCUAUGGGCUAUGCCGGAAAUGCCACGGAUUGAGUGGCGAGGUACGACAUAUUAUGUUCUAGUAGAGUGGUUUAUAUUUCAAAGACCCAGCGAACGGCUGGGAAGGAUUUCCAUUCUUAAUUGAGCUUUCAUGAUGGAUGUCAGUGCAGAGGAUUCUACCACUGAUUCAGAUCUGGUGUUGAGGGACUCUUCGGAUGUGUUUCAUGUGGUCGGGCAUGUCGCCGAGCAGGGUUGUUGAUUUUGGUAUUGAUUUGGUGUCGGGCACCGUAUCGUAUGGCUCCGGCAGGAGUUAUAGUAGUGGAAGGAGCAGCUUCAGGCUUCCUUGAUAAGGAGUUCGUUGGCAGGCUAAUGUGGAUACGCGUUCUAGCUGAGUUGGCUUAGUUUGCCCCAAACUGUAUUGUUGAGGGAUAGGUUGAUUCGACCGUUAUUGAUCAUACUAGUGAUCUAGGAGAACUAUGAGUUGUCUUUCUGUGUUGCAAAAUGUUAUGAUUUGUUGGUUAUGAGCACAUAUAGUGCGGUUCUAUUGGGGUUCAUAGUGGAAAUCGAGCGGGAAAAGUAAUUGGGUGUUGCUCGGUGGAUGGCGUAUUGGUUACGUCCUAUCGGGUAUGCGUGGUAUAUGUUCCUUAUUUCACCGUGGGUGUAGUGAUUUGCUUUGGUUCCAGGGGUCAAAUUGUGCGUGGUUGUCAAUUUCGAGCAUAGUGACUUAAGGUGUUUCAUGUGGAAUAGUGUUUGGAUAGGAUCGCGCAUUUCGCAGCGAAGCUAUGUGGAGGUAUGACCUCGCGGGUUAGAUUCGGGUGUUCUAUUUCUAUAAUGUGAGACGGGUCCUCAACCUUGUGUUGUGUUGGUACUGGUGAUCCUGCAGUACAACUCUUUUAUUUGAGUCAUUUUUCAUGAUUUGAGUAUGUUGGGACCAUUGCCUAUUGGUGCGCGUAUUAUGCAAGUUGUGGCUUAGGCCUAUAUUGAUGUGUCAUGUCACCAGAGUGGUGUGUUGGAUUAGAGGAGAUCGUUGGAUCAUUAAUAAAUAUGAAUGGAUUUGAUUUCAGCAUGUUGGAAGGAGAAUAUCGAGGUUCGGCUCGGAAAUUUGCUAUGGUAUUUGCCAAAGGAGAAGUAACUUCAUGAAUGGUUGACCUGAAAAAUGGUCGUGGUUUAGUGCGUAUUUUAUUUAUUGUUGGCAGUAUAUGAAAGUGUUGGAAUGAGACUUCAGUUGAUAAGAGGUUUUUACCAGUAUUCGGUUAUUGUGGGCAGCUGCUAUGAAUAGAAGUUAUCGCUACAAGUGUUUGAGUUAUGUGGUAUAUCAUGUGAUUGCACCUGAGAUAGCAGAUAUGGUUUGUUACAGCUUGUUCGGACUUCUUCACAGUAUAAAUGUGAGAUUCUGAUCAUAUUGAGGAUUUUAGAGGCAGAAAUGAGGUUCUAUGGUUUAUGGACUAGGAUGGAUUAUGAAAUUUCAGUUAUAUUGUGUUAUCGAACCUAUAUGAGAGACGGUGACGUGGGAUCACCCCCGGGUAUAUGCAUGGUAAGUUAUUCAGUUAUUGGUUGGCUUCUAGAACAACUCUGGGUACGUUCGAGGACGAACGUGUGUUUAAGUGGGGGAGGAUGUAACGACCCGACCGAUUGUUUUGAGCCAUUGCACUUGAUCGCCAGUUCUCGGGCAUGACUUGCCCUAUGUAAGGUAUUAUGACUGAUGUCAAUUAUUGAUUUUGGUUUUCAUGGAAAUCUGUAUGAAUUUGGAAGAACAGUCUCAGUUGAAAGCUUUGACCAAGAGUUGACUUAUUUGUAUAGGAGAUCGGAUCGGAAUUUUUAUGAUUUGGUUAGCUUUUUUGGGUGAUUUAUGACUUAGGAGCGUGAUCGAAAUUGGUUUUGGAGGUCCGGUGCAGAAUUAGGCUUGAAUUGGCAAAGUUAGUAUUUUGGCGAAUUCCGGUUGAUAGGUGAGAUUUCAAUCCGAGGGUCGGAAUGGAAUUACGAGAGUUGCUAUAGCUUCGUUAUGUUAUUUGUGAUGUGUGUGCAAAAUUUCAGGUCAUUCGGACGUGGUUUGGUUGGGUUUUUGAUCGAAAGCGUAAUUCGGAAGUUUUUAGAAAAAUUUAGGCUUGAAUUCGAUGUGAAUCGAUAGAUUUGGUGUUGUUUGAGGUGUUUUGAUGAUUGGAACAAGUUUGAAUAAGGUUUUAGGAUGUGUUGGUGCUAUUGGUUGAGGUCCCGGGGGCCUCGAGUGAGUUUCGGAUGGUCAAUCAGACCAUUUUUGGUACUUUGAAGUUGUAGGUUUUCUGAAGUUUCUGUUGCAGACUUUUGGCCUUCGCGUUCGUGAAGGGAUGCUUGAUGAGGCUGUGAAUUUGGCCUUCCCAUUCGCGAUGUUUGUCCCGCGUCCACGAAGGGUGAGGUCCUGAGUGUUUCACGAAUGCGAUAUGUUUCCUGCGUUCACGUAGAGUAAUUGGGGCAGCUGGGGUCCUAGCCCUUUUGUGCUUCGCAUUCGCGAUAUAGUGUUCGCGAUGGUAUGGCAAGCGGAAGCUUCACGUUCGCGAGAAGGAUAUCGUGUUCGCACAGAAGGAAGUGUUGGUCUGUGAAGCAGUGUGCUUCGCGAACGCGAGGAACAUGCCGCGUUCGCGAAGAAGCUUUUCUGAGUGCUGGGCAGAAUGUUUUAAAAAGGGUAUUCCGCGAUAUUGAGGCUAAGAACCUCCAUUGUUGAGCGAUUUUGGAGCUUGGGAGAGCUAAUUGAAGAGGGGUUCAAGGAGAAUCACCUAGAGGUAAGAGUUUUGAACUCGAUACUCAUUUUUAUUGUGAAAUUUACCUAGAAAUUCAUGGAACUAGGCUAAAAAUGGAAGAACUAGGGCUUGGGAUUUUGAAACUUUUAAAUUGGGAUUUGAAGGACCAUUUGAGGUCAGAUUUGAGAACUUUUGAUAUAUAUGAACUCGUGGAAAGAUAAGGAACCCAUUGAUAUAAAAAUUUCUGAGUUUCGAGAAGUGGGCUUGGGGAUCGGGUUUUGGUAAUUUUGGGAUUUGUGCCUGUUAUUGAUUGUUUUCGCUUGGGCUUUAUUCCCUUAGCAUAUUGUGAUAUAUUAGUUCUGAUUUUGGAUAGAUUCUACGCGCGUGGAGGCCGAUUUGAGGGGCAAAGGCGUCGCGAGCUAGAGAUUUCGCCGGUUCGUGGUGAGUAAUAAUUGUAAAUGAUACUAUGAGGUUUUGAAACUCCGGAUUGCACAUUGUAGCACUAUAUUGAGGUGAGGCACACGCUUGAUGACGAGCGUGGGAUUGUGUACUAUUGGGGAUUGUGACUUGGUCCAUCCCGAUUGAUGAUUUUAUCGCGUAUUUAACUAAAAACUAAUUAUUAUCAUCAUAAUUUGGGUUGAAUGCCAUAUUUGGGCCUAGUGCCAGCUAUUUGAACCCUUCGGGGAUUGUUGUUGAUAUUUCCUCACUGUUUUGAUUUUAUAAUUGAACUGAGUCAUGUUAUUUUCCACUAUUUUCAAAACUCAGCCAAGUUUAUUUUGCUUUAACACUUGAAAUGAUAUUUCGAACAACAUUUUUGGGCUGAGCAUCAUAUUUUACUGUUGCCCGAGUGGCUUAUGUGAUUUUUGCCUGAGUAAGGCCGAAGGCCUGUAUUGUGAGGAUACUUGUGGAUCGGGCUGCAUGCCGCAGCAGUGAGAUACUGAUUUGAUUAUGAGGCCGAGGGCCUGAUAUAUGUACGCCAAGAGGUGGCUUGUUGAUUGAUAUGAGACCGAGGGCCUAUAUUUGAUGCCACGAGAUGGCUUGAUAUUGCGCUUGGGCCGUAAGGGGCCCCUCCCGGAGUCUGCAUACACCUAGUGAGCGCCGUCGACCAGAUAUAUGGAUCGGGCUGCAUGCCGCAGUGAUAUAUGGAUCGGGCUAUAUGUCGCAGCAGUGUUGGUACUGUUCUAUGUGUUUACUUUAUUUCAUUUAUCUGCCAUUAUCUGUUGUUUGUGCUACUUCAUGUGAUAUCUACUGAUUGCCUGGCAUUAUCUGUGAAUUGAGUGUUGUGCCCAACGAGCGGAUUUCUGUGCUUAUCUGCACUAUUUUUUUUG
rnacentral:lncRNA from 1 species